rnacentral:lncRNA from 1 species
UAGAUUCUGACUAAAAAAUGACGAGAGUUGAGCAAAAAGUUUCUAUUGCAAUGAAUUGUUUACAUCGAUGUAUGGCACAGAAUGAAACCAUGUAAGUAAAAAGUUUCAUUACUUCAAUUUCUUUUGAAGUAGAAAAAUGUUUCCUUAGUCUAACUAGUGUUUCUUCUAACUCUGAACUGUACAGUGUCUAUCCUGGUUUACUACAACUAUACAAAAUUAUGUAACUAAAAAAAUGGGGACUGGUUUCCUUCUCACUUCCGCAAUCGAGAUGUGAGAUCGAUGAACAAAUCCUCGCUGCAGGGAAUAGUCACACCACCCAUUGGAUGGUCGAAGCCAAAUUCUUCCUCAGAUUGACUAAGCAAGUCUUGAAAUAAAGGUUGGCUCAAGAAUGAUAUCGGGAUCACAAAUCUCUUCUUCUGCAUCUCCCCAACAUACACAGCAAAAUGACCCUUGGGAAUAUCUCUAGUUGCAGAAGACUUCUUGAUCAUACGAAGAAUAGCCAUGAUCUCUUAGUUUUAGUAUAGGUGAGAAAAAAGGAAGGAUUGUAAGGUUACCAAAAAGCAGAGAAAGCUUUGAUGUUUGCUGAGUGUUGUGGUGGUAGAUACCUCAUUAGAUAUGUUUAUAUAGGAAAUGGCAACUCAUAUUGAUGUGUGUUGAAUAGGAAUGUGUGGGUACCAGCAGAAGACAAUGGCACUGUAGUAUCACAUGCUCUUGCCUUCCAAGUAUUGAAAACUAUGUGGUAUUAGUUAAACAACAAUAGGCCCCACCUUAUUUUGAAACAUGGAAAGAGCCAUUUGGAUUGGACAUCAGUACAAGACAAUGAUAUAUUAGCAAUCACAUGGUCCUGCCCUCCAGCUAGUUUGACAUGAUUAAUUACUUUGGCAUAUAUAAGUUCAAGUUCAAUCGGUCCUACAUAUAUUAUCCUAUAGGGAACAAAGGAUCUCUAAGAAUCAAAUCCACAUAUAUUGCUGGUAGCUUAUGAGGAUAUCUAGGAAUUAACCAUACCCCAGAUGCAAACUGUGUCUACUUAUAUAAAAAGGAUAAGAGAUAAAAAGUUGGCUUAUUAAAUUCCGAGCCAGUUGGUCAAAAUCAGAUGAUCAAAUAGAAACAGGGGGAAUAUUAUAUAUGCAAGAACAAUCCAUUGAUUAAUAGUUGGCUCCCUAAGUACGUUUGGUAACUACUGUGAAUAUUACCAUAACCAACAUACACAAAGUAACAAAUACACCUAAAAAAACCUUCUAAUCACAUAACCACCUUCUAGAAAGGGUGCAAUGAGAAAAUAGGCCUCCAAAAUAAAGCUAAUCAUAUCAUAUCAUAUAUUAUUAUAAAUGGGAAGCUCCAGAGUAGAAAAGUUGAAUUACAAUUUUACCCUUAUGCUAAAUUCAAAUGUUAUUAAAUAAAUAAUUAAUUAAAUAGUAAUAGUAGAAUUUCUAUAAUAUUUUUAUUUGAUUGGUAUACACAUGUGAGUAAAUUAAAUAGAACAAAAAUUAAAAAUAAGAGUUAUCCCUUUGAAUAGAUACAUGUAUGUGUUUCAUCUUCCAAAUUAAUUUAUAUUUUUAAUUAAUAUUUGUCUUUAAUUUGUAAUAAUACUUGAUCUUUCAAUUUUGUAAGUGAAUCUUCAUAUUCCAAAACUAUAUUUUUUCCCUAUAAAUACAAAUCUUUCUAUGAAAAUUUUCUAAUAGUAUUUUCAUAAAAAGAUUUAUACGUGAUAUAAUUUUUGUGUGUGGAAGACUAGAGAAGCUUUAAUCAAGUGAAGAAAAUUUCAAGGCAAAGAGAAUUUCUGUCAAGAUUACAAGACGUAAUGUGAUUAUAGGGAUGAAUAACACUUCAAUUACUAGAAUAUCGGAGUUUGAUGUAUUUGUUUUUUUAAUUUGCCGAGAUUAGAACUAUGAUAAGACCCCUCCAUUUAUGUAGUUGAAUGUCACUUUCGUUAAUUUCUCUUCCAAAACUUUUAACUUUUUUUUAUGGUCAAAGGUUGACUGUUUAUUACUAUAGUUUUUUUUUCAAUUUGCAAUAUCAAUAAAAAACAGGGAAAGGAAUGUCUUAAAAAUAGGGAAAGGAAUGUCUUCAAUUUACAUUAUCAAUUUGCAUUUUUGUUGGUAGCCUUAUGCUAAACUUGCUCCCAUAUUUGAUUUUUUUUUUUUUUGUAUUUGUACUUUUAUUUUAAGAAUAUAUUUGAUUGAAUGGUGUAUUUUCGUAUAAAUUUUUUAAUACUUAGUCAUAAUGAUUUUUCAUUACAGAUUUAGUAUAUUUGAAUUCUUUUAUAUAUUUUAUUCUUAGAUUACAGUUUUGUUUACACAGUACGUUUAAAUUUUAUAAAUUGUUUAAUAAAUUAAAUAUUAAUAUUAAAUAGUAAAUAGUAAAUCAUCAUAUUAGUAUACAUAACUUACCAUCAACUUGUAAAUGUAUGUGACUCUCACUAAUUAUAUUCAUUAUGUUCAUUACUCUCAUUUCUCAUCGAUAAUCUCAAAUGGAUUAAUAUUUAUUUAUGACAACUCUUUGUAUUUCUCAAUGUUAUCCAAUAAUAAAUAGUGACAUUUCACACAAUAAUAUAUAAACUUAAACCAAUUGGAAAAAAAUGAGAAAAUCUCGAUGCUCUCUUUUCUCGUCUCUUUUUAUUUAUUUAGUUUAACAUUUAUGUUUCUUGCUUGUUGUUAUUGUACAACGUACUUUCUAUUGUUGUGUUAUUAUUAUUGAUAAUUUACUAUGGCCUGUUGCUUUGUAUACAUUAGCUUAUCAUGUUGUAUUUUAAUAUCUUCAUUGGAAUAUUGAAUUUGUGUAAUAGUUAUUAUUACUUUAUGCACUUUCAGUCAAUUUUAUAAUUAAAGGUAUAAUAUUUUUACUAGGAAGAUAUAUGUAGUUUCUACCGAAACAAUAAUAAAUUUUACGAUACAAAAUUUAUAUGAAGUAUGUUGGGAUAAAUGUGCAACGCACGUUCCUAAAUCUAGUAUUAUUAUAAGCAUGAAGCUCAAAACUUAAAAGUUGAAUUACCAUUUUGCCCCUCUAAUAAAUUAAAACUUAUAUAAUUUAUAAUAAACAUUUUGCCCUUUUACUAAAUUAAGAUUUAGUUUAUAAUUUAAUUAAAUAUAAAUAUUUUAAUUACACAAUGAUAUAUAUAUAUCUAUUUAAUUUUCAUAAGUAUUUAAAGUUAGGAAGAAAGUUUAAAUUUAUUCAGUCAAUGACUUUUAAUUAGAAAAACAAUGAUAAGAUUCUAAAGUCUUUCUAUUACUCCUAUUUAUUCAUGCAUCACUUAAUUACUGAAGUUGAAAGGUUUUUUCAGUUUUAAAUUUUGAAGGCACUACUUAACUUACAUUAAUUACAAUGAAUAUUGUAAAUGAAAAGAUCACUCUUUUGAACUUUCAUAUGUUACUUCACUCUUUUUAAUUAACUUGAAUUAUUUUCAUCUUCCACAUAUUAUUGAAAUGUAUAGAUAUUUAAGACAUAGAGAAAGAAAAUAACAACAGAAAUCAAGAACACUCAAAAGCACAAGAAUUCAUAGUCUAACCCUUUUUUCGAAAAUUUUCUUGGUCUUCUCUAUUGCAUGAAUCUAUAUGAUGGCACAGUAUGGUUCUAAUACAUUUGAAAAUGCUAUGCUAACAUUUAGAUGAACUUACAAUAAAUCUAUUGAAAGAGUAAGUCACGAUUUAGAUUACAAUUUUUUCCUUGUUCUUCCCGUUUUAGUUUUGUUAACUAUGAUUCUUCCUUCUAUAUUAAAUGAUUUUUUGUUAUAUUUAGAUAAUAUGUUGAUAUAUUAAUAGAAAAAAAAAAGUAAGGUGGACUACAAUUUUGAGAUAUGUUGUUCAUAAAAAAAAUUAUAUUUCUUUGAUUAAUAGUCACUGUAUAAAAUUAAUUUCAUUGUAUAUGUUCUUUUUGGCUAUAUAUGAUACAAUCCUAAUGCAUAAAUUUUCUUUCUGAUAUGGUGUCUUCUCUUCAAUCUUUUGGUGUUAUAUUACACUGUUUGAUAAGUUUUCAUUGUAUUUGUCUAUUUUUUUUCCCUAUGAAGGUUGUUUUUGGUUGAAGGGUAAAAAAAUAUUUAAAUAAUAAAGUAUAAAAUUAGAUUAUCAUUUUAUUCUGUGUUAAAUUAAAAUAUUAUAAAAUAUUUAUUUAUAAAUAGUAAUCAUUCUACAUGCCACACUAAAUAUUAAAAAUAUUGGUUAUUAUGAGAUCAUUGAGUUAAAUCAAUAUAUAAAGACCAUAAUCAAUGCCCAGAUGCCCACUAAAGAUUUGCAUUGUUAUAUGAUUAAAGUCUUCAAAAGAAUGUGUAUGUUGUCGCAUGUUUUUUUCUUUGUUUAUUUUGUAUGUGUUUUCUCUCUAUGAACUUCUUUAAUUUGAUUUUCCAUAAAUUUCUUAUUGUUUUAAUUGUAUUUUUAAUUAGGCUAAAGUUAAUCUUUUGUGACUAUAUAUAAUGCAAAUUGGCUAAUUACUAUCUAAAGUUCUAAAUUUACAGUUGUUGAUAAAUUUUAUGCAUUAAAAUAAGAUUCCUCGUUUGAUGUUAUUGUGAUUAAACUUCUUUAAUUUGAUUUUCCAUAAAUUUUUGAUUGUUUUAAUUGUAUUUUUAUUUAGGCUAAAGUUAAUCUUUUGUUACUAUCUAAAGUUCUAAAUUUACAGUUUGUUGAUAAAUUUUAUACAUUAAAAUAAGAAUCCUCACCUGAUUUUUUUGUCAUAAUUUUAUAAUUUUAUUUGUAAUUGUUGGAUUUUGUUAUUCGUUACAUGCAUGUACAUGUAGAAUUCUAAUUGUUAUAAUGAAAAAUAAAAAAAAAAUUAACAUAGGAUACACGUGCAACGUACGUGUGCUGAAACUAGUUACAAAUAAGCCUUUGAAUCAAACUGCUACAACUGCGACCUUUUCUCCCUAUUUAUAAUAGAUCUAAUCUUUCCACGAUAUCCUUCUUAAUCUGUAACACAACUGUUCCAGUUUGAACAUUCAUGUGCUUGAAUGUAGUCCAGUUCCUAGCCUUCCAAGUAAAUAAUCUUGUUUGUUAUCUUUUACAAGUACAUUGGUUUCUUCAUAAACAAACAUAAAUAAGUUGGGAUCUUCCUCCAUAAAUAGCAUCCCAUCUCUAUAUCCCUAACACAACUAUUAGUACUUCUUUAGUAGCAUUAAGCUCUCAAAUUUCUUCAAGAAAACAUACAAAAAUGGCCAUCAGAAAAUCAAGCAACUUAAUCACAAACUGCAGUUUUCAAGCAAAUUAUGAAUAGGUAUUCAAAUUUGGGUAUGCUGAGAUUUAUAUUUGCUAAUGAGUCCAACCAACGACCCGACCCCUAAGAGAAACAAUCAUUUAAAGUAAAUAAAUUAUUAGGAAAAUUCAUGAGAAACCAAAAAUGGAUGAUAAUGCAAAGGACAAAAUAGACCUGAUCAGUUAUAUCAAGUACUGUGCUUGCCACAAUCGGAAUAAACUUAUUGUCAACCUGUUGGAGAACUUUGGCACCCUCCGGGAAGUUUUUAUUAAUGGUAUCAGGAACCAAUGAAUCGCCAAAAAAAUGCAAGACGCCAGAAGUGACACUCAGUACAAUAUACUGAUUAUUAAAAUUCUCAGUUCCAGCACUGUUCUGCAUCUCAACAGGAAAAGGUAAAGUUCAUCAUCUUAACAAAAUAGAGAAGAAGCAAAAACAUCCAAGAUAUAGCUAAGGUACUCAACUGUAAUCUUUGGAAGUCCCUCCAUUUUAUCCCAAAAAUCUAAGGAACUUUGAAUUUUUGUUGGUGCAAAUUCUGAAAAAUUGACUAAAGAAAAGGUCAGCCAUGACAAUAUUAUUACAAGAUCAGAACACAAGCAAGAUGGAAUUUGAAAGAGACUAUGUGGCAUAGGAGUCUUAGAAAGAGACAUUGUAAUCUCUAAUGCUUCCACGAUUAAUAAGAAUGCAGCCUAAGAUAAUCUUGAAAAGUGGGUGAAAGAAAUGAAGCUAAUUAACUGAAACAUGCACUAGGAAAAUUCAGCUCUUAUUCAGAUCACGAACAAGUGGCAGGAAUGGUUUACCUUCUUUUAACUCCCCAUCGCGUGUACAUGUGCACUCCCCUUGAGCUUGCAAUUUGCUAUUCCAGAUGUUAAUAAGUUCCCUUUUCACACUUGGCCUGAACAGAGAAACAUCAGGUCGUGUUCAUUACUGGCAUAUUUAAUUAAGAUAUAUCAGAAAGAGACCUAACAACCCUCCCAAGAAAUUGGAUAACGCUACCUUUCAUCAGAGAAGAAACCGUCACCACAACUUGGGGUGGAAGAUUGAUCACAUUGAUGGGAUGACUGCUGUGGAAGCUCUCAGCAGAUAGCUUCUGCAGAAUGAUGCAGUCUACUAACUGCUAUAGUUUCAGCACGAAUGAAAAGAACAUUAAUUAGUUGCACCUGUUCACUGUCAUCAAUGAUUAAUAACACAAACAAGCACUCAAGAACAAAUUACCAGGCAUGAGUGGCACAUCAUGAACAGUCUUAAUACUGUGAUUUCCUGCUGCCUUUCUUGUAGACUCACUCGUGGCAAAGAACUUAAUUCUUACCUUGGUAAAAUGGAGGAACUGAAUGAAUUCUUCUACCCUCCUUCUUCCUUAUAAGCUCAUCCGUUUUACCUCGAUUUCCAGCAUCGAUCCAUUUAUGUGAGUCCCUACCCACCCUAGAGAAGAGCAUAGGUCAUGGUAUCAACUAAUUCUUAAGAUUCUCUUCACAUCUCUUAUCCAUCAAUUUGGGCCUGCAUACCUUCACCGUGUAUACAUCGUGAUAGCUUGAAUGAACUAUCACUUGCAUUCAAUUUUUAAGGGAACUCAGAUGAAUCCCUAACCCACUGAACAAUAGUGGCAACAGAGAACGAGAAGCACGUAGACAAAACAGGUCAUCCUCACUGCAUGCAAAUAAAAAAAAAUCUAAGAAACCAUACAGGAAAUAUCCUCAAGUUAACUGGUUUAUCAAAUAUGGACCUUUCGAUAACAACAAUUUUGAAGAAGACACUGGGAUGCACAAGGGUGAUUCUCAGAAGAGACUCUUUGAGAGAAUGCAAGACCCUCUUUGUGCCUCGGACAGAGUACAGCUUAAGAAAUUAUGUAGAUCAUAUGUUUUACUUGUUUGAGUUUGAGGAAAACAAGAAGUACCUGGAGAGCAUUUGUUUCCUUAAAACUGAUUGGUUGUAAAAGCACUGGAAAUAGUUCCCGUGAAACUCCUCUUGCAUAUUAGCACUAGAUUAGGCAUAGGCAUUGCCAAAGAAGAAAAUAACCAUUAAAGUGGAAGAUUCACAUGACAUUGUAAACUCUUGAGCAUAAUAAACCACUAAAGCAAAAGAAUAUCAAUUACAUUGUUGAAUGUCAAUCAAGAAACAUCAAGAAGUCAAAUUCUAUAACAUAAAUCCCUAAAGAACACUUGAGACAAUUAAAAUACUAUAGGCAUCUUAAGAAAAUCUUGAAAUAGCAGUACGAAAAUCCAUCAAAAAAAGAAGAGAGGAAGCUUACUUUAAGAUGAGGGCAACACACACACACACUGAUCAUCAAAAAUAAAUAAUACCAUCCAAUCUUAUAGCAACAGGCAUUCAACUCAUAAUAUUUUUCAAUUUUUAUUUAUCCUUUCUAGAUUGCAACUUGAUAACGUAUCUAAAGUUAAUAAAAUAUACAUUAAUAAAAGGAAAAAUGUACACAAAUCUAAACUAAUCCAGUCAAAAAUUGUAUCACUAACCUGAUAUUUUUCGAACAUAUAAAGUUUUUACUUAAAUAAUAACAGCGGAACUUGAAAAAUAUAUAUUUAAACUAUUACGAUAACAUACUUAGUAUAGUCUCAUAAGUGGAAUCUAGAAAAGAUCUCAUGAUCAAUAUUAGUUUCAUAAAUCAAAUCUACAAUGGUUGGAUAUACGCAGAUCUUAUCCCAAAAAAAUUCAAUAUUAGUGAUUUAAAUACGCAAUCGAAUGGCAUUGGCAUAUUUGUGAAACUUGACAAUGACAUUGAGUAUAGUAAACUGGAGUCAACAAUGACAAAGAAAAUAACUAGAGCAAAAUAUACAAGCAUGUAGUGAAUAUAAGAUGGUUACUAAAAAUGUUAGGCACAUGACAAAGCAAUUGGAGAAUAUUAAUGCACUAUGCGUGUAUAUGUAGCUUUGUAUAGGCUACAUAUUGAAUAAUUUUGAAAUUGUGGAUAUGAUUAUAGGCUAAGUUGACAUUUGUAAAGGACAAUUUGCACAAAAUAUAGUGUCAAAACAUUAUAAGUUAGAACAUACUGAAAUUUAAUAUUUUUCUAAGUACAUGGACUAAAAAAUUACAAGGACUAAGGAAUCUUUGUAUUGUAACUCUAAUAAAACGGAUUAAACAUAAUCGGUAGAAUCUGUAAAGAGUCUGUAAAGAGGGCGAUGAUAUCAAAGCAAAACUCACCCUACCAUUACAAGAUAGAAUCUGUAGUUCACCGUACAAAUCCUGUGCCUUCAAAUAGAACCUCUAAUAAGAAUGAAAACAGAACUGCAUGAAGAAUGAUCCUGGAAGUCAAUAUGGAUUGGAUCGGGUAUCCAGAGGAAGACUUUGGAACUUGAAUAAAAACUCAACUUGGAAUUUAAAAUUCUGGGUUUACAAAAAGCCUUCCUUUAAGAACAAGGAAUCCCAACUAGCUUUGCACAUUUGAUAAUAAUACUUUAUAUACAAGAACUCACAAAAAAAAAUAAAAAUGAAAGAAAUAGACCGCUGAGAUCACAAGCUCAAGGCUCUUGCGGGAGCCUCGUCUAAUUCUUCUUUUGUUACUUCCUUCUUUUCCUGAAAUAAAUAGCCAACUUACUCAAGAAAUUUACACUUUGCAAUCCUUCUAGAGAGCAUGGAAAAUCUAGAGCAAAUAGUUCUUUGAUUCACACAUUUCUUGGCCAAGAUUUGGUAUGUUCAUACAAAUACAACUGACGAUCAUAAUAACGUUCCUGAUAGGAAACAAAAUACUUAUAUACAAAAAGAAAGAUCAUAUGUGUGAUGGAGGAGAUAGAUGACACAGUAAUGAUUUAGGUAAUUACACAUCUCAUUAUUUUGGUCCAGAAAAAAAUCAUAUUUAAUUUUCAAGUGUCUUUAGAUCUUCUAUUUUGAUUAUAGACAAAACAUAUAAUAUCAGCGCAAAUCAUUCACCUCUCAAAUGCACACUCAAUUGUUGAAGCAUCAAGGUGAAAGAGAAAUUUGAUUAUAAUGGGCAAAACAAGCUUCUUAACAGUUUACACUUCUAUAAUGAUACAACAUGAGUUUCUGGAGGUUCAAAUACCAGAGUUGGGUACUGGUGUGGGUAAUAUAAUGAUCAAUACUCACACAAUUCUCUCUCAUUGAAGUGAAGAGAGAAACAAGUUUUCCUUUGGAUGAUAAAAAAAGAGAGAGCAAACUGUUCGUAUCACUAAGUCGUCAAACAUAACCUAAAGGUGACUACACAUCGAAGGCAAAUUAUAAUAAAACUAGCCAAAUGGAACAUCUAAACAGCUUGAAUAAUAUUAGAUUAUUAAGGUCAAUCCUAGACAAGGAUUUCUAUAAUUGAUAGGGACUACUUCUGCAGAUACUCAGAUAUAUACUAUGACGGGUUGAUGGCAAGUUGUCUAAAAUGCUUAUCUAUGAAAAGAGACAGACCAUUGUCAUUGUUGACCCGUAAGAGGGGAAAUAUUCUCCAGCCCACUGCUACCACAAAGAACCUUUGCUCCACAUCCAACUGUAUCAGCUGUUCUAACUUCCGACAGCCUCUUCAUCAAACAAGAUCUAUAAAAUAAAAAAACCUACAACCAUUUUAGUAGGGUCAAUAAGAAGCUCCUAGUCCAAAUACAGGAAUAGCAAGAGUAUAAGAAACAACAAAUCAGAAAAAGUCGAAACAUUUCACAGCCAAUUCAUAAAUAUAACCGGCUGCAUCAUCAAGCUGCAGCAAUACUGAGCUGGAUAAUUCCCUUCAAGUUUCAAUAUCAAGUUAAAACCCCUCUUUGUUUAACUCAUUUAGCAAAUAAGAAGAUGCCAUGAAUCUGUAGUUGUUCCCUCUUUGUUUAACUUAUUUACCAAAUAAGAAGAUGCCAUGUAUCUGUAGUCCUUGUCCUUGCCUGUCAUCAGCAAAAUGGAGUCAAGUCAAGUCAAAUUGCACAAAUGGAUGGCGCAACAGAGGAGAGAUGGCUUGCAGCAUCAAAUAAUAAUUAAGAUUUUCUUCACUAUGAAAAGUAUACGUGACAAAUCAUCACCAUUAUAAUAGAAUCCAGAAGGACCUGAACUACUAAGUUCACCCGAUCAAGUCCCCCACACUAUAAAUAUCCUCCUUAGAACAAGCAUUAAAAUUGGGAUCAAAUUUUGCCGGAUUUGGGAACAAGCAGUCCUCUUUUCAAUAUUAUAUAUGGCAGGAAUUCCAAAAUCAUAUGUGAGAACAACUUCAUGUUUAACAGAAGUUUCUAUACCAUUUUCAGGCUUUAGCAAUGUUAAGGAUUAACAUCUUGAAACUUUGUCCCGAGCAAAGUAUCUGGUGAAAGAGGAGAUGGUUCUGGACCACAAAACGGCAGUCCAGAACCAUAAUUUUCAGUCUGUUUAAAGAGGUCCAUAAGAUGAUCGUCUUCAUCUAACAUGACCUUGGUUAAUGAAGAUUUUUCUGAAUCUCCUGAAAAAUUUUGACCUCAUUAGUCAUACUACGCCCAAAAUACACUCAAACAUUAGACUAAAGGCCAAAUACAAAGAAUCUGUAUAAUCAAAAAAACAAUCAUUUUCUUUGGAAAUAAAUGCAAAAGAAUCUGGUUAGCUACUGAAGUAUGUCCUUAAACAUGAAUGAUGUGAUAAAUAGUUUUCCAAAUUAAGUUAAAAGCUAUUUGAGUUUCAAGUCCUCAUAAUUCGAGAAGAGAGAACCUCUACCAUUAACUUGCUACUGAUGGUAUUAGAACAAGAAAAAUUCAUUCCUAAGAAGUAACAAUUCAUAAUUCACUUGCUAUAAUCAACCUAAUUAAAACAUACAAUGAACCUUAAGAGACAAUGCACACAAACGAAACUUGAAAUCCUUAGACCCUCAAAAAUCCUUCUUGCUGUCAACAAGAUGGAGCACAGAACUGACAAAAACUGUGCUAUUGAUACCUCAGAAUGAACUAACAACCCUGAGAAAAAGUGCUUGUCAUGCUUUGUUUUCCAUAUCUAGGCAGGCAUAUAAUCCUUCAGAGGAAGGAAUAUGAAUGUUGAAGAGAAUAAGAUAUAAGUAUUGUAAAAGGUCUGAGAAUGUAGGUGAGCAACCAAUCCUGUAUUAACAACUACAGUACCUUUCUCUUUCAAAGACUGAUUUGCAAAUGGUUCGCAUGUACUUGCACUUUUUGAAUGUAUCCCUAAAAGAAUCAAUCGUUAAAAAAAUGCAUUUAUAAGGAAUUCACAAGAACCAAAAAUGGCCAUCAUGGACUAUGCAGAGACCAGAACAGACCUGAUUAAUUAUAGGAAGUGUGGUGCCCGCCACAAUUGAAAUAAACUUCUUAUCAACCUGUUGGAGAACUUUGGCAGUUUUUAUCAAUGGUAUCAGGAACCAAUGAAUCACCAACAAAAUGCAAGACGCCAGAAGUGACAUUGAGCACAGUAUCUCAUACUGAAAAGGGCAAAAAAGUCCAGUUCUUAAGAUUCCUGUUCAAGUUCUGCUCUGCAUCACAUACUGAAAAGGGUAAAAGUCCAUCAUCUUAGAAGGAGAGAGAAGAAGUUGCAAAAACAUCUGAGAUAUAGCUAAGGUAACUCAACUGUAAUCUCUGGACGGAAGUCUCUCCAUUCUGUCCCACAAUUAAGAAACUUCGAGCUUUUGUGGUUCAAAUUCUGAAAUUUUGAAUAAAAAAUGUCAGUCAUGACUCAUGUCAAUUCUAUAAUAAGAUCAGUACAUAAGCAAGAUGGUUGAAAGAGACUAUGGGUCCUAGGGAACUUAAAAAGACACAUGGUGAUCUCUAAUGCUUUUAUGAUUGAAUGCAGUCUGGGAUAAUCUUGAAAAAAUGGGUGAAAGAAAUGACACUAAUUAACUGCAACAUGCACUAGAAAAAUUUAGCUCUUAUUCAGGUCAGGAACAAAUGGCAGGAAUUACCUUCUUUCGACUCCCCAUCGUGUGAAGUUGUGCACUCCCCUCAAGCUUGUACUUUAUUAUUCCAAAUGCUAACUAGUUUCAUUAGAAACACCAGGUCGUGUGGGUUACUAAAAUAUCUGAUUGAGAUAAUAUCAGAAAGAGAACUAACCCUUCCAAGAACGUUGAUAACAUGACCUUUCAUCAGAGAAUACACCGUCACCACAACUUGGGGUGGAGGAUUUACCAAAUUGAUGGAAUGACUGCUGUGGAAACUCCAAGCAGAUAGCUUCUGCAAAAUGAUGCAGUCUCCUUACAGCUCUAGUUUCUGCACGAUGGAAACGAACAUUAAUUAGUUGCCCACAUUUCCUGUCAUCAUUGAUCAUUAAUACAAACAAGCACUCAAGGACAAAUUACCUGGCAUGAGUGGCACAUAACGAACAGUCUUGAUACUUUUAUUUGCUGCUGCUGUUCUUGAAGACUAGCUUGUGGCAAAGAAUUUCUUGCCCGAGGAGCUGAAAUGACUUCUUCUACUCUUCUCCAUCAUUAUAAUCUCAUCUGUUUUACCUUGAUUUCCAGCAUGAAUCCAUUUAUGCGAGUCCCCAUCCCAUCCUAGAGGAGAGCAUAGCUUGUGGUAUCAAAAUAAUAAUUAAGAUUUUCUUCACUAUGAGAAUGUAUAUGUGACAAAUCAUCACCAUUAUAAUAGAAUUCAGAAGGAUCUGAACUAUUAACGUCACCCGAUCAAGUCCCCUACACUGUACAUAUCAUCUGUAGAACUAGCACUAAAAUUGAGAUCAAACUUCGCAAGUUUUAGGAACAAGCAGUCCUCUUUUCCAUAUUAUUUAUGGCAGGAAUUCCAAAAUUAUACGUGAUAACAACUUCAUAUUUAACAGAAGUUUCUAUACCAUUUUCAACAAUGUUUAGGAUUAACACCUUAAACUUGGUCCCGAUCUGAGCAAAGCAUCUGGUGACGGAGGAGAUGGUUCUGGACUACAAAACGGCAGGCCAGAUUCAUAUUUUUCCGUCUGUUUAAAAAGGUCCAUAAGAUGACCGUCUUCAACUAAAAUGACCUUGAUUAAUGAAGAUUUUAUCUCCUAACAAAGUUUGACCACAUUAGUUAGACUAACGCCCGCCCGAAAUACACAGAACCUGUAUUAUCAAGAAAACAACCAUUUUCUUGUGAAACACAUGCAAAAGAAUCUUGUUAGAUACUGGAGUAUUUCCUUAAACAUGAAUGAUGUUAUAAAUAGUUUUCCAAAUUCUGUUGGAAGCUAUUUGAGUUUCAAGUACUCAUAAUUCAAAAAAGAGAGAACCUCUACCAUUGACUUGUAUGGUAUUAGAACAAAAAAAGCUCCUCCCUUGGAAGUCACAAUUCAUAAUUCACUUGCUAUAAAUCAACCCAAUUUAAAACAUAAAAUGGCCCUUAGGAGACGAUGCACACAACGAAACUUGAAAGCCUUAAACCAUCAAAAAUCCUUCUUGCUGUCAACAAGAUGGAGCACAGAACUGAUAAAACCUGUGCUAUUGAUACCUCAGAAUGGACUAACUACCCUGAGAAAAAGUGCUGUCAUGUUUUGUCUUCCACAUUUAGACAGGCAUAUAUCCUUCAGUGGAACAUGAAUGUAGAAGGAAUAAGAUAUAAAGUAUUGUAAAAGGUCUGAGAAUGUAGGUGAACAACUAAUCCUAUAUUAACAACUACAAUACCUUUCUCUUUUAAAGACUGAUAUGCAAAUGGUUUACAUUUACUUAGAGAAUGUUACCGAAAGAAGAGUAACAGAUGUUGGCUGCUUGUGACUCAGAUUUAAGGUAACUGCUUUAACCAAAACAUACAACUUCAUGCUCAGAGUUAGGUUUAAAUUUGAUGAAUGUUGCAAAAUUCAGUGCAAUGGAAUUUCUGGUAAAUGACAAUUUUAUCAUGUUCCAUAGACACCCACAUAAGUCAUGAGGAUAUUAAUAAUGAACAAUUAAAUACCGCCAACCAAAUGAUGAAUUAGUUUUGUUGCGCUUAUUUUUUCUUAUGUGGCUAACUGACAGCUACAUAUUUAUGCAGAUGUUACUUUUUCUUACGCGGCCAAAUAAUGUUAUAUUAUUUAUGCAGAAGUCUAUGCUGAGAUUUAUAUUUGCUAAUGAGUCCAACCAAACAAUCCCUAAGAGGAACAAUUGCUUAAAGUAAGUGCAUUUUAAAGAAAUUUAUGAAAAACCAAGACUGAUCAUAUGGACUAUGCAAAGGCCAUAUAGACAUUAUCAGUCAUAAGUGUUGUGUUCCCACAAUCAGAAUAAACUUCUUAUCAACCUGUUGGGGGAACUUUGGCACCCUCCAGACAGUUUUUAUCAAUUGUAUCAGUAACCAAUGAAUCGCCAACAAAAUGCAAGACACCAGAAGUGACAUUGAGUAUAGUAUCCAGAUUCUUAGGAUUCUCUGUUCCAGAACCACUCUGCAUCUCAUACUCGAGGAGCGGCCCGUUGGUUCACCAAAGCCCGACCCAGUGUCGGACAUUCUCCAAAAGGUAAAGGUUCUAUCAUCUUGUCCAUAUAGUCAAGGUACUCAACUGUAGUCUUUGGACGGAAGUCCCUCCAUUUUGUCCCAGAAUCUAAGGAACUUUGAAUAAACAUAAGCAAGAUAUAAUUUGAAAGAGACUCUGUGGCCUAAGAGACUUAGAAAGAGACAUAAUCUGAAAUGCUUUAAUGAUUAAUAAGAAUGCAAUCUAAGAUAAUUUUGGAAAGUGGAUGAAAGAAAUGAAGCUCAUUAACUAAAACAUGCACAAGAAAAUUCAGCUCUUAUCAACAGUUUACCUUCUUUUAACUCCCCAUCGCGUGUACUUGUGCAAUCCACUUGAAUUUGUAAUAUUCUAUUCCAGAUGUUAACAAAUUUCAAUUUAACACUUGGCCUGAAGAGAAAAAUAUCAGGUCGUGUGAGUUACUAAAAUAUUUGAUUGAGAUAAUAUCAGAAAGAGACCCCACCCUCUCAAGAAAUUUGAUAGCAUUACCUUUCAUUAGAGAACACACCCUUACCACAUUUCGGGUGGAAGAUUGAGCACAUUGAUGGAAUGAGUGAGUGGAAGCUCCCAGCAGAUAGCUUCUGUAGAAUGAUGUAGUCCCCUUGCAGCUCUAGAUUCUGCACGAUGGAAAAGAACAUUAAUUAGUUGCUCAUAUUUUCUGUCAUAGUUGAUUAUUAACACAAAAAACGCACUCGAGGAGAAAUUACCUGGCAUAUAAGCACAUCAUGAACAAUUUAAAUAUUGUUAUUUCCUGCUGCCGUUCUUGAAGACUCACUUGUGGCAAAGAACUUCUUCUUGUCUUGGUAAAAUGGAGGAGCUGAAUGGCUUCUUCUACUCUUUCUUCUUCCUUAUAAGCUCAUCUAUUUUACCUCGAUUUCCAGCAUCAAUCCAUUUGUGCGAGUCCCCAUCCACCCUAGAAGAGAGCAUAGCUCGUGGUGGCAAAUAAUUUUAAGAUUCUCUUCAUCAUGAGAAAGCAUAUGUGUCAAAUCAUAUCUAUCAUAAUAGAAUUCAGAAGGACCUGAACUAUAAACAUCCCACGGAUCCAGUCCCCUAUACCGGCCAUGCCAGUUUGCCCAAUUACAAGUAAAACUGCAAAACAAAAAAAUUGAAGAACACCCGUAAAAAGAUACUAACAAACACAAACCGUCAAACAACCUAUCAGUUGAGGAACGCAUGCAGCCGUAUAGACUACGACAACCAUUCCAAGUUACGAACAUAAUCGUUGUCAGUCCAAUAUUUUGCAAAAUGAUUACCAUAUCAUUCUCUCCUCAGCAUCUGUCCAUCUCGUGAGACACCAGAUCCUUCAAAAGAAAGUACCAACUUCAGGUGAUGAAGCAAAAUAAUAAAUUGAGCAGAAUUUUAUACAUAUCUAAAUGCAUUUAGAUCAACGUCAAAGAAACUAAUAGAUACCAUUGUCAUCCACCUUAACAAUUCAGGUCCCAAUGUCAACAGCAACAGAUACCUGGUUGAAAAUGGAAACUGGGUUAAAGUUCAACUUAGGAGUACACAAAUUAUAAGAACAACGAACAUAAAAAGAGCAGUCCUACAAGGGGAGUAAAUCUCAUGGAGAAAACAAAGUGCUGUUAUAAGAAUAUUCAUUUGUUAAAAAAAAAUGCUUUGAUACUAGAAUCGAGCAUCAUACUAAGAGGAGAAGAAGAAUAUCAAUUUUCAUAUAAAGCAUAUCCCCUUGUAAUCAGAGGUAGCAAAAAUAGAAACAUACGAAUCCAUUGAAGAGCCUCACUGACAUUAACAAAAUCAGAAAACAUAAAAAACAUAAAACACGCCCACUCUCUUACAUGACACAAUUUACAACUUAUAAGAAACAAUUAAAAUCAGAAAGUCUAGAGCAUGUUUAUUUCAAAGAUGAAAAUAAGUCUAGACCAUGUAAAAGAAAAUGACCACUGAGGGUGUUCUGUCCAAUCGAGUGUCUUCAUUCAAAAUACUACAAAUCAUUUCUUAUAAUUAAACUACUUAUUUUUUAAGAAUUGUAACAGUGGAGCCUUCAACAAGAAAAACUCCACAUUUUCCCAUUCAAUGGCUUCAUAAUUCAGUUAUAAUUAAACCAAAAACAACAACAAGAGUAUCUAUCAUGAUUUAUGAUUUCAUGAUUCAAUUAUAUAAAAAGGUUCACCUCUAUGUGACUAUCACUUUUAUCUUUGACAAUGAAAGGAAGGCCAGCAUCUUCAAAUUGCUGCACCAUAUCAGGAUCCACCUACGUAGCACAGGAUAAGUUUUUAGCAUACGUCCCUUACUAAAGAAAAUCACAUCCUAUGGUCUACAUAUAAUUAUUAAACCAGUCCACCUAGAUGUGCAAUAGUUACACCACAGUUCCAAAUUUAAAGGAAAAAAAGUGUUGAACCUCAUAUAUAUGAUGGUGCCUCUCAUCUGCAAAGCUCCAAUUGCCAAAUCUGAGAAAAGAUAUAAUUAAGCCAGUUGGUAAUAUCAAUGGGAAAAAUCCUCCAGAAUGGCUUCACAAACUUAUCAACAAGCAUGCCCAAUGUAUGCAAAAGCAGUCUAUUAAGAAUUUCAAGAAACCAGAGAGAAAAGGCAAAGAACCAUAUCAUUUUAAAAAAUACUUGGUCAGAAAUCAAAAAGUCAAUAAACAAAAGUGUAGAAAGACGACUUAUCACAUCUCUUUAUCCAUCAAUUUGGGGCUCAGUGUAAACAUCGAAACCUUACAGUUAUCCUGAAAGUUAGAAUGCACCAACACUUACAUUCAAUUUGUUAAGGAAACUCAGAUGAAUUCCAAAUCCACUAGACAACAGCGGCAAGGAGAAGGAGAAGCACAUGUGCAAAGCAGGUCAUCCUCACUGCAUGCAAAUGAACAAAAUCUAAGGAACUAGAGAGGAAAUCCUUAAGUUAGAUGGCGUAUUGAAAACGAACCUUUCAAUAUCAACAAUUUUGAAGGAGACACUGCGAUGCGCAAGGGAGAUUCUUAGCAGAGACUCUAUCAGAGAAUGCAAGACCCUACUUGGACUUCAAGAUUAUACAUGCAGACCAAAAGAUCAAUCAGAUCAGAAUACAGUUUAGAAGUAAAGUAUGUAAAGCAAUAUCUUUUACUUGUUUGAUUUUGAGAAAACUAGAAGAACUUGGAAUGCAUUUGCUUCCUUUGAACUUCUAAGUUGUAAAAUACAUCACGAACAAUUACUGCAAAAAAAGAAACCCUAGAAAUCUCCUUUAAUAGCAGGCAGCAGUUAACUCAAUUAUCAAGUAGGCUUAUACAAAAUCACCUACUAUACCAACAUCUUGUCUAUAAUCACCAAUUCCAAGGUACAAAACACUUGCCAUCCGGUUAACAAUGGCCAGAUAAGACUUCAAGGACCAGGUUAGUAGUUCUAUACCUAUCCUAGUGUCAACUACUUACUAUAACUCAAAAGAAUUUUACCUUCAAAACCUUACAAUAUCUAUUAGGCCUCCCAUGAGAUUUGGUAACAAUUCCAGAAAAGAAAUAUCAGAAAUAGAGCUCAGAACCAACUAGUCACCACAAGAUAUUCUUGAGAAACACAUCAAAAUAGCUUCAUCAGAUUAACACAAUCAGUAUCAGUGGUGCCAACAAUGAGAGUUAAAUACUGCACAUAACUAUGCUGAAUUGAUUGCAUAUCUACCAUGGAACAAAAACGAACAAGUGACAUGUUUUUCUUUUUUUGUGGCUAUUAGUCAAACCAAUCCUAGUGUCAACUACUUACUAUAACUCAAAAGAAUUUUACCUUUAAAACCUUACAAUAUCUAUUAGGCCUCCGAUGAGAUUUGGUAACAAUUCCAGCAAAGAAAUAUGUAGAUAUGGUACAACAAAUUAGGGGCAGAAUUUGACCAGCCCUUUUAACAUAUAGCAUGUCGUUGAAGUCAAUAGGUUCCUAUCCAGUUCAUAGCAGAAUGUCUACAGAAUCAAACAAUGUAAUCAGUUGAAACAAAAUCCAGUAAUCCUAAAAAGUGCAACAGUUCUCAAGUUUGAUCUAGUCCAUGGUCUGCAGUCAAAAACUAACAGAAACCAGAUGCAGUCCUCUGGUUACUUGUGCUCCCACUUCAUCCACUUAUCAAAGAAAUAUAAGAAUUUUGUCACUUCCUCAGAGCCUAUUUUAGCUUUUCCCUAAUACCCUCGUUCUAAUUAAUGGUAUUUCGUAAAACUUUUGAAACAUUAGCGUAGGUGUUAAAUGUCAAAUGAAUUUUGUUACACCAAAAGAAUAGAAAAGAUACUAACUCAGUAACUCCAACAUGAAGGAGUUAAGUUGAUUCAACCUUCUGACAGAAAGGAUACAUAAAGAAGUACUAAAAUCAAAGUUAGGCUACAAUUUUCCGUUUUUUAGAAAUAAUCAAAAGUCAAAAAGUCCAGACCAUGUAAAGGAAAGGGGCGGUGAGGGGGUUUUAAGUCUACAAUUGAGUGUCUUCAUUCAAAAUACUACAAAUCACUAACUUACUUAUAAUUAAACUACUUUUUCUUUUAUUAAGUUGCGCAGUGGGGAGCCUUCAAGAACAACUUCACGUCUUUUUUCAAUUCCAAUUUUCCAAGAGGAAGCAGGGGACAUUAGGGCAAAACAAGUUCUUGAACAUCCUUAACAUGCAUUGACAGGAUGACAACAUAUCUUGCUUUUAAAAAAAGAUUCUUGAAUUUUCUUGAAAAAGCCAACAAAUUCUUAAAAUUUUCUUGAAUUCCAACAUGCAAAAUCGAGUUCUUUGGAAGAAUAUCAAGAUAAUGAGUAGAGUACCAAUGGAUAGAUAGAUCAAUUGAUUUAGGGUUAGGGUUUUGAUCGGACAUCGUCACUUGAACCAUCAAGAACACCAACAAGUUCAAUGAACUUUUCUAAAAAAUUAAACGCAAAAUAGAGUUGUUGAAUUCGAAUAUGCCGAAUGCCAAUGAAUCAUGAUAGAUUUGCCGAUAGCCGCCGGUAGCGUAAAAGUUCCGGCGGUCGAAGUAUUGAGUUCUAAAAUGGACACUAGGUUCUCUGUUUUAUAGUUUUAGAACCAGAUAAUACACGCGGCAGAAAAAUAGAACGCGGAAAAAUAACUACUUAAUAAAAAAUAUAUUACUUUUUUGUAAACUAUUUUAUUCUAGUAAUUAUUUUUUAUAUUAUUUGUAAUAGGAAGAAUUAUUCAUUGAAUGUGAAAUUUGUUCUCUCCCUUUCGUAUUAAGUUAAUAUUUUUAUUUUUUAAUUAAAUUCCCUUUGAUAUUAAGUUAAUAUUUUUAUUUUUUAAAUUUAUUUAAUUUUUAAGACUAUUUAAGAUAGUUAUUUCAAUUUUAUCCUUCAAUAAUUAAUAUUGAAAUUAGUGAUUAAUUAUUAUUUAGUUAUUUUAAUUAUAAAUUUGACAAUAAUUAAUGCCGUUUACUUCUCCUUUUUCUUAAGAAGAGAAAUUUAAGCUUCUUUCUAAUCGAAAAAAAAAACAAUUUUACUUUCAUUUAAAAGCAAUUUUAAAAAUUUGUCAAAUAUUUAAUUUUUCAAACAAAAAUAUUUUUUUCUAUAAAAAAAAAAACAUGUUGAGUAUCCCAACAACAAUGUCAAACACUAAGAGGCUCUUAGCCCAACCCAAUUUUUUGUUGUUUUCAUUUUUCUGCAAAUAAACUUCAAAAAUAAAUAAAAAUCUUGUCCAAUCAAAGUGUGUAGUAAUUUGUUUAUUGCCCUAAGUUUUUAAAUAAUCAAAAAGAUAUUAAUAAUGUUACUUCAAAUUUUUUAAAGUUCGAAAAAAGGAAGUUAAAAAAAAUGAUACACAUACCAAAUAUUAGCCUAAGUCAAAGUAGAAUCCACAAUGUUGAGUGUGUGAAACACGGCCAAAGAUAAUCUGUAAUACUUUGCAAAUGAACUAAAACAUUCAUAUUUUUAUAUAUUUCUGCAGCAGUAUAAUGUUAUGUUUUUUUUGUUGUAUUGAGGUCUUGAGGAUAACGUAGACUUUAGCUCUUGAGAAGCUCCAAUUCCCCUGUUAUAAAUAAAUGAAAUCAUGCAAAGAAAUUUCUGAAUUCUCAAAAAUCAGUUGGCGGUCUGAACAGCUAAAAAAGUGUGGUGUAUGUCUUUUUGAUAUCAGCUACUGAAAAAUUACAUUCAACAUUUGGGAGUAGGACAAAUAGCCCCCCUCUAUCUAAGUUUCAGUAAUGUGUAUUCAACUAUACAAACUACAAAGUUUAGUUAGUUCUUUACAAAAUUGUGUUAAGGAAAAGCAUCAGAAGCUACUCAAGCGAGAAGUAAGAUUAAUGAACACAUCCUCACUACACGGAAUUGUUACACCGCCCAUUGGAUGAUCAAAGUCAAAACUCUUCCUCGGCUUGACUAAGCAAGUCUUGGAAUAAAGGUUGUCUCAAGAAUGAAAUGGGGAUCAUAAAUCUCUUCUUUUGCUUCUCCCCAACAUAAACAGCAAAAUGGCCCUUUGGAACGUCUCCAAAUGUACAAGUCUUCUUGAUUAUACGGAUUUCCAUGGUUGUUUAGUUCAAUAUAGAUGAAGAAAUAAGGAUUGGAAGAAUUAGUAAGGAAAUCUGAAAGCAGAGAAAGGUUUGUAUCAUUUCAAGUUUUAGUGAGAGCUGUUAUGUGUUUAUAUAGGCUAAUCUCAAGUUGUAGAAUUCUACAGAUGUGCAUUGAAUAGACAUUAUGUGGGCACCAGCUAAAGACAGUAGCACCUGAAGUAUCACAUGGUAUUGCCUUCCAACUCAUUGCCAUAAUACUAUUAAUGCAAACUCUCAUGUGUCCACUUAUAUCAAAACUAUAACAAAAAACAAAAUCAAUCAUAUAGAAGAUUCAACUGGUAGAGAGGCAUUUUUUGUACUGUUGAUUGACUAUAGCACAUGGUUUUGCUACUCAACUCAUUGUCAUUGCUCUUCAAUAUCAGCAGUCCCUACACCCCAGUGUUUUUUAGGACAAGAGAGAGAACUGAAGAUUUUUAGAAAUCAAUUUGCUAACAUUGAGUCAUUGUCAACAGCAGGAUUUUAUGAGUUUGAUCAGAAUGAUAAUAACAGGUAAAAUUUACUACCAUCUGACCAUUUGCUAAGUCCCUCAAGCUAAGUCAUUAUGUAGGAUCAACUUUCCUGAUUAAAAUAAACCAACCCAUUUCAAUAGAUUUUUUCUAAAUAUUUCCAAAUAGUAGAGAAUACGAUAUAUUCUUUACUGGCUAUCUCUGUCCAUGUAUGCAAAUCUCCAUUAAAUUAUAAGUCAGUCAACACCUUAUUAUUGCUAGAAAUUCGAGUUCAUAUCCAAAAGUACAGAUACUAUUUCUUAUGAAGAGUUCCUAAAGUGUAAUUAUCAUUUUUACCAAUUGAAUGAGGUACGCCACUUAAGAGGACUAGAUUGUAGUUCUUUCUGAUUACCAAACCAUUACAGUUGAGCAAACAAUUUCUACUGCAAUAAAUUGAUUACAUCAAUGUAUGGAAGUAAAAAGUUUCAUUACUUCAAUUUCUUUUGAAGUAGAAAAAUGUAUACUAGUCUAGCUAUUGUUUCUUCCAACUCUCAACUGUACACAGUGGAGUUCCUGGCUUACUACAACUAUACAAAAUUGUGUGACGAAAAAAAAUGGUGACUAGUUUCCUUCUCACUUCCUCAAUCGAGAUGUGAGAUCCAUGAACAAAUCCUCACUGCAGGGAAUAGUAACACCGCCCAUUGGAUGUUCAAAGCCAAAUUCAUCCUCGGCUUGACUAAGCAAGUCUUGAAACAAAGGUUCGCUCAAGAAUGAUAUCGGAAUUACAAAUCUCUUUUUCUGCAUCUCUCCAACAUACACAGCAAAAUGGCCCUUGGGAAUAUCUCUAGUUGCGGAAGACCUCUUGAUCAUACGGAGAAUAGCCAUGAUCUCUUAGUUUUAGUAUAGAUGAGAAAAAAAGGACUGUUAAGGGAACUCAAAAGCAGAGAAAACUUUGAUGUUUACUGAGUGUUGUGGUGGUAGAUACCUCUUUGGAUAUGUUUAUAUAGGAAAUGGCAACUCAUAUUGAUGUGAAUCGAAUAGGAAUUUGUGGUCACCAGCAGAAGACAAUGGCACUCAAGUAUCACAUGCUCUUGCCUUCCAAGUAUUGAAUUGUGGUAUUAGUUGAAGAACAAUAGGCCCUACCUUUUCUGAAAACUUGGAAAGAAGCAUUAUUCAUUACAUAAUUUCUAAGAAGUGAUGAGAAGUCAUAAACCUCUUGAUAUGUGAUGAAGAGCCAUUUGGAUUGGGCUGCACAUGGUCAUGCCUUUCAACUAGUUGACAUGAUUGAUUCUUUUAGCAUAUAUAAGUUCAAGUAAAAUAGGUCCUACACAUUUAUUUCCAACAAAGGAUCUCUAAGAAUCAAAUCCAUAAAUAUUACUGGUAGCUUAUGAUGAUUUCUAGAAAUAAAACAUACCCCAGAUGCAAACUUUGUAUCCAAUUAUAUAAAAGAUAUACGAGAUAAGAAGUCAAAAAUAUGAAAGAUUUCACUGGUUGACACUGUUAGUUGACAAUAGCACAUGAAGUAUCACAUUGUCUUGUUCCCCAACUCAUUGUCUAAUAUACAUGAUCUUAGCGAUCAGAUUGGUAAAUUUACUGCUCUUGAAUAGCAGCAGACCCCAAUGUUUUGACAAGAUAGCGAACAUACAUCAAAUCGAUAAAUUUACUGCAAUAGCUGACAACUUGUAGGAUCAACACUCCCGAUUAGACUAACCUGUGUUAUUUCAAUAGAUUUUGGAAAGUGUUCUCAAAUAUUUGUGGGCUUUCAACAUGUCUGUGUUUGCAAAUCUCCAUAAAUUUAUGAGUCGGUCAAAACCUUACUAUAUAUUGGCAGAAAUUUGAGUCCAUCCAUAUUCGAGAAAAGUAUAAAUAUGGAAUACACAUUUUUAAGAGUUGAUCAAUUUACAUCCAGUUCUAUUGGAUUCAGUCGAACUGAGUACUUUCACAUUGCUGCAGAAUGGCAGAUCUAGUACAUGUUGAGUUAUACUUCAUUGUAUGAUGGACACUACCAUGUUUAUUUUAACUUCAUUUUGAACCACAAAGUAUAAUUCUUACCAAUGGAAUGAGUUGUGGCACUUUAGAAGACUGGAUUCUGACAAAAAACGAGGGUAGAGCAAAAAAAUUCUAUUGCAAUGAAUUGUUACAUCAAUAUAUGUAUAGAAUGAAACCAUGUAAGUAAAAAGUUUCAUUACUUCAAUUUCUUUUGAAGUAGAAAAAUGUGUCCUUAGUGUAACUAGUGUUUCUUCUAACUCUCAACUGUACACAGUUUCUAUCCUGACUUACUACAACUACACAAAAUUGUGUAAUUAAAAAAAUGGGGACUGGUUCCCUUCUCACUUCCGCAAUAUAGAUGUGAGAUUGAUGAACAAAUCUUCGCUGCAGGGAAUAGUCACACCACCCAUUGGAUGGUCGAAGCCAAAUUCUUCCUCAGAUUGACUAAGCAAGUCUUGAAAUAAAGGUUCGCUCAAGAAUGAUAUCGGGAUCACAAAUCUCUUUUUCUGCAUCUCCCCAACAUACACAGCAAAAUGGCCCUUGGGAAUAUCUCUGGUUGCGGAAGACUUCUUGAUCAUACGAAGAAUAGCCAUGAUCUCUAGUUUUAGUAUAGGUGAGAAAAAAAGAAGGAUUGUAAGGUUACCAAAAAGCACAGAAAGCUUUGAUGUUUGCUGAGUAUUGUGGUGGUAGAUACCUCUUUAGAUAUGUUUAUAUAGGAAAUGGCAACUCAUAUUGAUGUGUGUUGAAUAGGAAUGUGUGCAUACCAGCAGAAGACAAUGGCACUGUCGUAUCACAUGCUCUUGCCUUCCAAGUAUUGAAAACUUGUGGUGUUAGCUAAAUAACAAUAGGCCCUACCUUAUUUUGGAACUUGGGAAGAGCCAUUUGGAUUGGACAUCAGUAGAAGACAAUGAUAUAUUAGUAAUCACUUGGGCCUGCCUUCCAGCUAGUUGACAUGAUUAAUUGCUUUAGCAUAUAAGAUCAAGUUCAAUAGGUCCUACAUAUAUUUUCCUAUAGGGAACAAAGGAUCUCUAAGAAUCAAAUCCAUAAAUAUUGCUGGUAGCUUAUGAGGAUAUCUAGGAAUUAACCAUACCCCAUGCAAACUUUGUGUCCACUUGUAUAAAAAGGAUAAGAGAUAAAAGUUGGCUUAUUAAAAUUCAGAGCCAGUUAGUCAAAAUCAGAGAAUCAAAUAGAAACAGAGGGUUAUAUAUGCAAGAACAAUCCAUUGGUUAAAUAGUUGGCUCCCUAAGUACAUAAUCUUGUUUGCUAUCUUUUACAAAUACAUUGGUUUCUUCAUAAACAAAGAUAAAUAAGUUGGGAUCUUCCUCCAUAAAUAGCUUCCCAUCUCUACAUCCCAAACACAACCAUUAGUACUUUUUUAGUAGCAUUAAGCUCUCAAAUUUGUAUGCACCAGCUUGGAGGGAGUGUUUCAAUAGAAUAAGUAUUUCCUACUUAAAAUAGGAAUAGGAAUAAGAAUAGGAUUCCUAGUCAGAAAAGGACUCUAAUAUAGUGUCUAUAAAUAGGGUCUCAAUGUAAAAUUUAGAUACACAAUUCAAUAAUAUUUUUUCACCAUAUAUUUCUCACAAGGGUGACAACAAGACCAAGUUUUUCCACAGAUCAGCAAAUGCUCAUAGAAGAUAUAACAAUAUUGAUGAAUUUAUGGUGGAUGGGGAAGCAACCCAAAAACCAGAUGUUAUAAAGAAGGAGAUUGAGAGGUCUAUUAAAGAAUAUAUACUGAAACUGAGACAUGGAGGCCAGCUGGAGGAUGCAGGGCAGACCACAGAGCACAGAGUUUCUAUUGAAGACAAUCAUUCUAUGAAAGCUAGAUAUACAAAAGCUUAUGACCACCUCAAUAGGAUUUGGAGGUAGAUGGGUAAGAUGGAUGAAGUUCUGCAUAAGCACAGUCAAAUUCUCUGUCCUUAUCAAUCAAUGACUCCCCUACAGGUGAGCCUUCUACUCACAGAGAGGCCUAAGGCAAGGAGACCCAUUAUCUCCUUUUCAUCAUUGCCACGAGAUGUCUUAAUGAUAUGUUGAGAGUUGCUCAAGGAAUAGCUGGUUGAAGGGAUUCAAAGCUGCACACAGGGAAGGCUCAAACUUGGAGUUACUCAUUUGCUUUGCAGUAUGCUGAUGAUACAUUGAUCUUUUGUGAGGCUAAUAAGGACCAACUCAUGAUUCUCAAGGUCAUUUUUGUUAUUUUUGAAGCAGUCCCACGAUUACAUUCAACUGGAAUAAGAGCUUCAUAUAACCAGUUAAUGAGGUUCCUAACCUAACCUAAUUGGCUGGGGUCCUUGGUGGAAGUAUUGGGAAGCUACCAACUGUCUACUUGGGCAUGCCUCUGGGUGAUCAGAACAGGUCUAUAGAUAUAUGGAAUUGCGUGGUAAAGAAGUGCAAGAAGAGGUUGGUAAACUGGAAAAGUCAAUAUCUCUCCUUAGGAGGAAGACUAGCACUAAUCAAAAGUGUUUUGGACUCUAUGCCUACCUAUAUGAUGUCCCUCUUCCCUAUCCCUGAUGGGGUCAUUGAGAGAUUGGAUGUUCUAAGAAGAAACUUAGUGAAACCAAGAAGUUCCACUUGGUGAAAUGGGAUGCACUGAUUGGAAGUAAACAAAAAGGGGUGUGGGGGUAAGGAACUUAAAAACUCAGAACCAAUGUCUUAUGAUGAAAUGGCUCUGGAUAUUUGCUUCUAGGGAGUCAGCUCUCUGGAAAGAAGUUAUCCAGCUGAAGUAUGAAAUGGCAGAUCAUUGGACCACCAGAAUGGUCACCGAUACUUAUGGGAUCAACCUUUGGAGAUCCAUCAGAAACCUGUGGCCAAAGCUUAGAGAAAAUUGCAGCAUAAGAACAGAAGAUGGCAGGAAGGUACUUUUCUAGGAAUACAAGUGGUUACAUCAAGCCCCCCUAAGGGACACCUUCAAUGAUAUUUACACCCUAAACCAACAACAAAGGACCACUGUGGAUGAAGUCUGGUCAAAUCAGGGAUGGAAUUUGAGCUUUAGAAGACCUUUUAAUGACAAGGAGAUUUUGAGGUUAGUUGAGUUCUACAGCAAUUGGAGCAAUUCAAAGGAACCUCCACUGACCAAGAUAGAUUGGAGUGGGAGGGCCACAGUCAAGGUAAUUUCAGUAUGAAAGGGGCCUAUAAAAAAUUUAACCCCAAUAAUUAUCAGAUUGUGGGGGGCCUAGGAAGCUUAUAUGGAAAGUCAAAAUUCCUUAUAAAAUUUCCUGCUUCACUUGGCUUGUGGCCAAACAAGCUGUUUUAACCCAAGAAAACCUCAUGAAAAGGGGGAUACAUCUAAGUCCAAGGUGUUUUUUUGGGAAGAGAAGGCUGAGACUGUAACCCACCUUUUUAUACACUACAGGAUUACCCGUCAACUAUGGGAAAUAUUCCUAAGUAAGAAGGGCCUGAAUUGGGUAAUGCCAAGGAAAAUAGAUCAGACUUUGAAGAUCUGGAGCAGUUAUGCUAGCAUGUCAGACCAUAAGGAUAGGUGGAAAAUUGUACCAGCUUGAAUUUUGUGGGCUGCUUUGCGAUGAAAUUGAAGUGAUUAGUUUUGUUUCACUUUUGGUGUAAACAGGAGUAUAGGGAAUAUCUAGAAUCAAUUAAAGAUGCCUUAGGAUUAUUGUAAUUUUUUGUUAAAAGGGUUGAAGUUCUUCUAGAUACUCCCCUCCUCAACUGUAAUUAUGAAACCUGUAACUUGUCGUGGCAGGUUUCUGUUUUUGGGGAAAUAGAAUACAAGUCGUUACCUUCUCAAAAAAAAAAAGUAUAAACAUGGAGUACAUAUUAUUAAGAAUUAAUCAAUUUACAUCCAGUUCUAUUGGACUGAGUUUAACUCAGUACUUUCACAUUGCUGCAGAAUGGCAGAUCUAGUACAUCUUGAGUUACACUUCAUUGUAUGAUGGACACUACCAUGUGUGUUUUAACUUCAUUUUGACCACAAAGUAUAAUUCUUACCAACGGAAUGAGUUGUGGCACUUUAGAAGAGUUGUGGCACUUUAGAAGGCUAGAUUCUGACUAAAAAUCGAUGAGAGUUGAGCAAAAAGUUUCUAUUGCAAUGAAUUAUUUACAUCGAUGUAUGGCAUAGAAUGAAACCAUGUAAGUAAAAAGUUUCAUUACUUCAAUUUCUUUUGAAGUAGAAAAAUGUGUCCAUAGUCUAACUAGUGUUUCUUCAAAACUAUGAACUGUACAGUGUCUAUCCUGGCUUACUACAACUAUACAAAAUUGUGUAAUUAAAAAAAUGGGGACUGGUUUUCUUCUCACUUCCGCAAUCGAGAUGUGAGAUCGAUGAACAAAUCCUCACAGCAUGGAAUAGUCACACCACCCAUUGGAUGGUCGAAGCCAAAUUCUUCCUCAGAUUGACUAAGCAAGUCUUGAAAUAAAGGUUCGCUCAAGAAUGAUAUCGGGAUCACAAAUCUCUUUUUCUGCAUCUCCCCAACAUACACAGCAAAAUGACCCUUGGGAAUAUCUCUAGUUGCAGAAGACUUCUUGAUCAUACGAAGAAUAGCCAUGAUCACUUAGUUUUAGUAUAGGUGAAAAAAAAAAGAAGGAUUGUAAGGUUACCAAAAAGCAGAGAAAGCUUUGAUGUUUGCUGAGUGUUGUGGUGGUAGAUACCUCAUUAGAUAUGUUUAUAUAGGAAAUGGCAACUCAUGUAUAAUGUGUGGGUACCAGCAGAAGACAAUGGCACUGUAGUAUCAGAUGCUCUUGCCUUCCAAGUAUUGAAAACUAUGUGGUGUUAGUUAAAGAACAAUAGGCCCUACCUUAAUUUGAAACUUGGAAAGAGCCAUUUGGAUUGGACAUCAGUACAAGACAAUGAUAUAUUAGUAAUCACAUGGUCCUGCCCUCCAGCUAGUUGCAAUGAUUAAUUACUUUGGCAUAUAUAAGUUCAAGUUCAAUAUGUCCUACAUAUAUUUUCCUAUAGGGAACAAAUGAUCUCUAAGAAUCAAAUCCAUAAAUAUUGCUGGUAGCUUAUGAGGAUAUCUAGGAAUUAACCAUACCCCAGAUGCAAACUUUGUGCCCACUUAUAUAAAAAGAAUAGGAGAUAACAGGGGGAAUAUUAGAAGAACAAUCCAUUGAUUAAUAGUUGGCUCCCUAAGUACAUAAUCAUUUUUUUUUGGCAACUAAUGUGAGUAUUACCAUAACCAACAAACACAAAGUAACAAAUACACCUAAAAAAGAACCUAAUCACAUAACCACCUUCUAGGAAGGGUGUGAUGAGAAAAUAGGCAUCCAAAAUAAAGCUAAUUACAAAUAAGCCUCUGAAUCAAACUGCUACAGCUACGACCUUUUCUCCCUAUUUUUAAUAGAUCUAAUCUUUCCACAAUAUCCUUCUUAAUCUUCUGUAACACAACUGUUCCAGUUUGAACACUCAUGUGCUUGAAUGUAGUCCAGUUCCUAGCCUUCCAAGUAAAUAAUCUUGUUUGUUAUCUUUUACAAGUACAUUGGUUUCUUCAUAAACGAAGAUAAAUAAGUUGGGAUCUUCCUCCAUAAACAGCAUCCCAUCUCUAUAUCCCAAACACAACUAUUAGUACUUUUUUAGUAGCAUUAAGCUCUCAAAUUUCUUCAAGAAAACAUACAAAAGUGGACAUCAGGAAAUCAAACAACUUAAUCACAAGCUGCAGUUUUGAAGCAAAUUAUGAAUUCAAAUUUGGGUAUGCUGAGAUUUAUAUUUGCUAAUGAGUCCAACCAACGACCCGACCCCUAAGAGAAACAAUCAUUUAAAGUAAAUGAAUUAUAAGGAAAAUUCAUGAGAAACCAAAAAUGGAUGAUAAUGCAAAGGACGAAAUAGACCUGAUCAGUUAUAUCAAGUGCUGUGCUUGCCACAAUCGGAAUAAACUUAUUGUCAACCUGUUGGAGAACUUUGGCACCCUCCGGGAAGUUUUUAUUAAUGGUAUCAGGAACCAAUGAAUCGCCAAAAAAAUGCAAGACGCCAGAAGUGACACUGAGUACAAUAUACUGAUUAUUAAAAUUCUCAGUUCCAGCACUGUUCUGCAUCUCAAUAGGAAAAGGUAAAGUUCAUCAUCUUAACAAAAUAGAGAAGAAGCAAAAACAUCCAAGAUAUAGCUAAGGUACUCAACUGUAAUCUUUGGAAGUCCCUCCAUUUUAUCCCAAAAAUCUAAGGAACUUUGAAUUUUUGUUGGUGCAAAUUCUGAAAAAUUGAUUAAAGAAAAGGUCAGCCAUGACAAUAUUAUUACAAGAUCAGAACACAAGCAAGAUGGAAUUUGAAAGAGACUAUGUGGCAUAGGAGUCUUAGAAAGAGACAUUGUAAUCUCUAAUGCUUCCAUGAUUAAUAAGAAUGCAGCCUAAGCUAAUCUUGAAAAGUGGGUGAAAGAAAUGAAGCUAAUUAACUGAAACAUGCACUAGGAAAAUUCAGCUCUUAUUCAGAUCACGAACAAGUGGCAGGAAUGGUUUACCUUCUUUUAACUCCCCAUCGUGUGUACAUGUGCACUCCCCUUGAGCUUGCAAUUUGCUAUUCCAGGUGUUAAUAAGUUCCCUUUUCACACUUGGCCUGAACAGAGAAACAUCAGGUCGUGUUCAUUACUGGCAUAUUUAAUUAAGAUAUAUCAGAAAGAGACCUAACAACCCUCCCAAGAAAUUGGAUAACGCUACCUUUCAUCAGAGAUGAAACCGUCACCACAACUUGGGGUUGAAGAUUGAUCACAUUGAUGGGAUGACUGCUGUGGAAGCUCUCAGCAGAUAGCUUCUGCAGAAUGAUGCAGUCUACUAACUGCUAUAGUUUCAGCACGAAGGAAAAGAACAUUAAUUAGUUGCACCCGUUUUCUGUCAUCAAUGAUUAAUAACACAAACAAGCACUCAAGAACAAAUUACCAAGCAUGAGUGGCACAUCAUGAACAGUCUUAAUACUGUGAUUUCCAGCUGCCUUUCUUGUAGACUCACUCAUUGCAAAGAACUUAAUUCUUACCUUGGUAAAAUGGAGGAACUGAAUGAAUUCUUCUACCCUCUUUCUUCCUUAUAAGCUCAUCCGUUUUACCUCAAUUUCCAGCAUCGAUCCAUUUAUGUCAGUCCCUAUCCGAGCACAGGUCAUGGUAUCAACUAAUUCUUAAGAUUCUCUUCACAUCUCUUAUCCAUCAAUUUGGGCCUGCAUACCUUCACCGUGUAUACAUCGUGAGCCUUGAAUGAACUAUCACUUGCAUUCAAUUUUUAAGGGAACUCAGAUGAAUCCCUAACCCACUGAAAAAUAGUGGCAACAGAGAAAGAGAAGCACGUAGGCAAACAGGUCAUCCUCACUGCAUGCAAAUAAAAAAAAAUCUAAGAAACCAUACAGGAAAUAUCCUCAAGUUAACUGGUUUAUCAAAUAUGGACCUUUCAAUAACAACAAUUUUGAAGGAGACACUGGGAUGCACAAGGGUGGUUCUCAGUCGAGACUCUUUGAGAGAAUGCAAGACCCUCUUUGUGCUUCGGACAGAGUACAGCUUAAGAAGUUACGUAAAUCAAAUGUUUUACUUGUUUGAGUUUGAGGAAAACAAGAAGUACCUGGAGAGCAUUUGUUUCCUUAAAACUGGUUGGUUGUAAAAGCACUGGAAAUAGUACCCGUGAAACUCCUCUUGCAUAUUAGCACUAGAAUUAGGCAUAGGCAUUGCCAAAGAAGAAAAUAACCAUUAAAGUGGAACAUUCACAUGACAUUGUAAACUCUUGAACAUAAUAAACCACUAAAGCAAAAGAAUAUUAAUUACAUUGUUGAAUGUCAAUCAAGAAACAUCAAGAAGUCAAAUUUUUAACAUAAAGCCCUAAAGAACACCCAAGACAAUUAAAAUACUGUAGGCAUCUUAAGAAAAUCUUGAAAUAGCAAUACAAAAAUCCAUCAAAAAAAGAAGAAGAGAGGGGAAGCUUACUUUAAGAUGAAGGCAACACACACACUGAUCAUUAAAAAUAAAUAAUACCAUCCAAUCCAGUGUAGCAAUAGGCAUUCAACUCAUAAUAUUUUUCAAAUUUUAUUUAUCCUUUCUAGAUUGCAACUUGAUAACGUAUCUAAAAUUAAUAAAAUAUACAUUAAUAAAAGGAAAAAUGUACACAAAUUCUAAACUAAUCCAGUCUAAAAUUGUAUCACUAACCUGAUAUUUUUCGAACAUAUAAAGUUUUUACUUUUAAAAUAAUAACAGCGGAACUUGAAAAAUAUAUAUUAAAACUAUUAUGACAACAUACUUAGUAUAGUCUCAGAAGUGGAAUCUAGAAAAGAUCUCAUAAUCAAUAUUAGUUUCAUAAAUAAAAUCUACAAUGGUUGGAUAUACGCAGAUCUUAUCCCAAAAAAAUACAAUAUUAGUGAUUUAAAUACGCAAUCGAAUGGCAUUGGCAUAUUUGUGAAACUUGACAAUGACAUUGAGUUUAGUGAACUGGAGUCAACAAUGACAAAGAAAAUAACUAGAGCAAAAUAUACAAGCAUGUAGUGAACAUAAGAUGGUUACUAAAAAUGUUAGGCACAUGACAAAGCAAUUGGAGAAUGUUAAUGCACUAUGCGUGUAUAUGUAGCUUUGUAUAGGCUACAUAUUAAAUAAUUUUGAAAUUGUGGAUAUGAUUUUAGGCUAAGUUGACAUUUGUAAAGGACAAUUUGCACAAAAUAUAGCGUCAAAACAUUAUAAGUUAGAAUAUACUGAAAUUUAAUAUUUUUCUAAGUGCAUGGAGUAAAAAAUUACAAGGACUAAGGAAUCUUUGUAUUGUAACUCCAUUUCUUCUUUGUUACUUCCUUCUUUUCCUGAAAUAAAUAGCCAACUUACUCAAGAAAUUUACACUUUGCAAUCCUUCUAGAGAGCAUGGAAAAUCUAGACCAAAUAGUUCUUUGAUUCACACAUUUCUUGGCCAAGAUUUGGUGUGUUCAUACAAAUACAACUGACUAUCAUAAUAAUGUUCUUGUUUACAAAAAGAAAGAUCAUAUGUGUGAUGGAGGAGAUAGAUGACACAGUAAUGAUUUAGGUAAUUACACAUCUCAUUAUUUUGGUCCAGAAAAAAAUCAUGUCUAAUUUUCAAGUGUCUUUGGAUCUUCUAUUUUGAUUAUAAACGAAAAUCAUUCACCUCUCAAAUCCACACUCAAUCCUUGAAGCAUCAAGGUGAAAGAGAAAUUUGGUUAUAAUGGGCAAAACAAGCUUCUUAACAGUCUACACUUCUAUAAUGAUACAACAGUGAGUUUCUGGAGGUUCAAAUACCAGAGUUGGGUACUGGUGUGGGUAAUAUAAUGAUCAAUGUAUAUGUGACAAAUCAUCACCAUUAUAAUAGAAUCCAGAAGGACCUGAACUAUUAGGUUCACCCGAUCAAGUCCCCCACACUAUAAAUAUCCUCCUUAGAACAAGCAUUAAAAUUGGGAUCAAACUUUGCCGGAUCUGGGAACAAGCAGUCUUCUUUUCAAUAUUAUAUAUGGCAGGAGUUCCAAAAUCAUAUGUGAGAACAACUUCAUGUUUAACAGAAGUUUCUAUACCAUUUUCAGGCUUUAGCAAUGUUAAGGAUUAACAUCUUGAAACUUGGUCCCGAGCAAAGUAUCUGGUGAAAGAGGAGAUGGUUCUGGACUACAAAACGACAGUCCAGAACCAUAAUUUUCAGCCUAUUUAAAGAGGUCCAUAAGAUGAUCGUCUUCAUCUAACAUGACCUUGGUUAAUGAAGAUUUUUCUGAAUCUCCUGAAACAUUUUAACCUCAUUAGUCAUACUAACGCCCAGAUGACUAACGCCUAAAAUACACUCAACAUUAGACUAAAGGCCAAAUACAAAGAACCUGUAUAAUCAAGAAAACAAUCAUUUUCUUUGGAAAUAGAUGCAAAAGAAUCUGGUUAGCUACUGAAGUAUUUCCUUAAACAUGAAUGAUGUGAUAAAUAAUUUUCCAAAUUAAGUUGGAAGCUAUUUGAGUUUCAAGUCCUCAUAAUUCGAAAAGAGAGAACCUCUACGAUUGACUUGUUACUGAUGGUAUUAGAACAAAAAUAGCUCAUUCCUCGAGUAACAAUUCAUAAUUCACUUGCUAUAAUCAAGCCAAUUAUAAUAUAAAAUAAACCUUAAGAGACAAUGCACACAAAUGAAACUUGAAAUCCUUAGACCCUCAAAAAUCCUUCUUGCUGUCAACAUGGAGCACAGAACUGAUAAAAACUGUGCUAUUGAUACCUCAGAAUGAACUAACUGAGAAAAAGUGCUUGUCAUGCUUUGUUUUCCAUAUCUAGGCAGGCAUACAACCCUUCAGAGGAAGGAAUAUGAACAACUACAGUACCUUUCUCUUUCAAAGACUGAUUUGCAAAUGGUGCACUUUUUGAAUGUAUCCCUAAAAGAAUCAAUCGUUAAAAAAAUGCAUUUAUAAGGAAUUCACGAGAAACCAAAAAUGGCCAUCAUGGACUAUGCAGAGACCAGAACAGACCUGAUUAAUAAUAGGAAGUGUGGUGCCCGCCACAAUUGAAAUAAACUUCUUAUCAACCUGUUGAAGAACUUUGGCAGUUUUUUUCAAUGGUAUCAGGAACCAAUAAAUCACCAACAAAAUGCAAGACGCCAGAAGUGACAUUGAGCACAGUAUCUCAUACUGAAAAGGGUAAAAAAGUCCAGUUCUUAAGAUUUUCUGUUCAAAUUCUGCUCUGCAUCACAUACUGAAAGGGGUAAAAGUCCAUCAUCUUAGCAAGAUAGAGAAGAAGUCGCAAAAACAUCUGGAAUAUAGCUAAGGUAACUCAACUGUAAUCUCUGGACGGAAGUCUCUCCAUUCUGUCACACAAUUAAGAAACUUCGAGCUUUUGUGGUUCAAAUUCUGAAUUUUGAAUAAAAAAUGUCAGUCAUGACUCGUGACAAUUCUAUAAUAAGAUCAGAACAUAGCGGUUGAAAGAGACUAUGGGUCCUAGGGAACUUAAAAAGACACAUGGUAAUCUCUAAUGCUUUUAUGAUUGAAUGCAUUCUGGGAUAAUCUUGAAAAAUGGGUGAAAGAAAUGACUUUAAUUAACUGGAACAUGCACGAGAAAAAUUUAGCUCUUAUUCAGGUCAGCAACAAAUGGCAGGAAUUACCUUCUUUCGAAUCCCCAUCGUGUGAAGUUGUGCACUCCCUCAAGCUUGUACUUUAUUAUUCCAAAUGCUAACUAGUUUCAUUAGAAACACCAGGUCGUGUGAGUUACUAAAAUAUUUGAUUGAGAUAAUAUCAGAAAUAGAACUAACUCUUCCAAGAACGUUGAUAACAUGACCUUUCAUCAGAGAAUACACCGUCACCACAACUUGGGGUGGAGGAUUGACCACAUUGAUGGUAUGACUGCUGUGGAAACUCCAAGCAAAUAGCUUCUGCAGAAUGAUGCAGUCUCCUUACAGCUCUAGUUUCUGCACGAUGGAAACGAACAUUGAUUAGUUGCCCACAUUUCCUGUCAUCAUUGAUCAUUAAUACAAACAAGCACUCAAGGACAAAUUACCUGGCAUGAGUGGCACAUAACGAACAGUCUUGAUACUUUUAUUUGCUGCUGCUGUUCUUGAAGACUAGCUUGUGGCAAAGAAUUUCUUGCCCAAGGAGCUGAAAUGACUUCUUCUACUCUUCCCAUUAUUAUAAUCUCAUCUGUUUUACCUUGAUUUCCAGCAUGAAUCCAUUUACGCGAGUCCCCAUCCCAUCCUAGAGGAGAGCAUAGCUUGUGGUAUCAAAUAAUAAUUAAGAUUUUCUUCACUAUGAGAAUGUAUAUAUGACAAAUCAUCACCAUUAUAAUAGAAUUCAGAAGGAUCUGAACUAUUAACGUCACCCGAUCAAGUCCCCUACACUGUACAUAUCAUCUGUAGAACUAGCACUAAAAUUGAGAUCAAACUUUGCAAGUUUUAGGAACAAGCAGUCCUCUUUUACAUAUUAUUUAUGGCAGGAAUUCCAAAAUUAUACGUGAUAACAACUUCAUAUUUAACAGAAGUUUCUAUACCAUUUUCAGCAAUGUUAAGGAUUAACACCUUAAACUUGGUCCCGACCCAAGCAAAGCAUCUGGUGACGGAGGAGAUGGUUCUGGACUAAAAAACGGCAGGCCAGAUUCAUAUUUUUCAGUCUGUUCAAAAAGGACCAUAAGAUGACCGUCUUCAACUAAAAUGACCUUGAUUAAUGAAGAUUUUAUCUCCUAACAAAGUUUGACCACAUUAGUUAGACUAACGCCCGCCCAAAAUACACAGAACCUGUGUUAUCAAGAAAACAACCAUUUUCUUAUGAAGCACAUGCAAAAGAAUCUUGUUAGCUACUGGGGUAUUUCCUUAAACAUGAAUGAUGUUAUAAAUAGUUUUCCAAAUUCCGUUGGAAGCUAUUUGAGUUUCAAGUACUCAUAAUUCAAAAAAGAGAGAACCUCUACCAUUGACUUGUAUGGUAUUAGAAUAAAAAAAGCUCCUUCCUUGGAAGUCACAAUUCAUAAUUCACUGGCUAUAAAUCAACCCAAUUAAAACAUAAAAUGGACCUUUAGGAGACGAUGCACACAACGAAACUUGAAAGCCUUAAACCAUCAAAAAUCCUUCUUGCUGUCAACAAGAUGGAGCACAGAACUGAUAAAACCUGUGCUAUUGAUACCUCAGAAUGGACUAACUACCCUGAGAAAAAGUGCUGUCAUGUUUUGUCUUCCACAUUUAGACAGGCAUAUAUCCUUCAGUGGAACAUGAAUGUAGAAGGAAUAAGAUAUAAAGUAUUGUAAAAGGUCUGAGAAUGUAGGUGAACAACUAAUCCUAUAUUAACAACUACAAUACCUUUCUCUUUUAAAGACUGAUAUGCAAAUGGUUUACAUUUACUUAGAGAAUGUUACCGAAAGAAGAGUAACAGAUGUUGGCUGCUUGUGACUCAGAUUUAAGGUAACUGCUUUAACCAAAACAUACAACUUCAUGCUCAGAGUUAGGUUUAAAUUUGAUGAAUGUUGCAAAAUUCAGUGCAAUGGAAUUUCUGGUAAAUGACAAUUUUAUCAUGUUCCAUAGACACCCACAUAAGUCAUGAGGAUAUUAAUAAUGAACAGUUAAAUACCGCCAACCAAAUGAAUGAAUUAGUUUUGUUGUGCUUAUUUUUUCUUAUGUGGCUAACUGACAGCUACAUAUUUAUGCAGAUGUUACUUUUUCUUACACGGCCAAAUAAUGUUAUAUUAUUUAUGCAGAAGUCUAUGCUGAGAUUUAUAUUUGCUAAUGAGUCCAACCAAACAAUCCCUAAGAGGAACAAUUGCUUAAAGUAAGUGCAUUUUUCAAGAAAUUUAUGAAAAACCAAGACUGAUCAUAUGGGCUAUGCAAAGGCCAUAUAGACAUUAUCAAUCAUAAGUAUUGUGUUCCCACAAUCAGAAUAAACUUCUUAUCAACCUGUUGGGGGAACUUUGGCACCCUCCAGACAGUUUUUAUCAAUUGUAUCAGCAACCAAUGAAUCGCCAACAAAAGGCAAGACACCAGAAGUGACAUUGGGUAUAGUAUCCAGAUUCUUAGGAUUCUCUGUUCCAGAACCGCUAUGCAUCUCAUACUAGAGGAGCGGCCCUGUUGGUUCACCAAAGCCCGACCCAGCGUCGCACAUUCUCCAAAAGGUAAAGGUUCUAUCAUCUUGUCCAUGUAGUCCUGGUACUCAACUGUAGUCUUUGGACGGAAGUCCCUCCAUUUUGUCCCAGAAUCUAAGGAACUUUGAAUAAACAUAAGCAAGAUAUAAUUUGAAAGAGACUGUGUGGCCUCAGAGACUUAGAAAGAGACAUAAUCCAAAAUGCUUUCAUGAUUAAUAAGAACACAAUCUAAGAUAAUCUUGAAAAGUGGAUGAAAGAAAUGAAGCUAAUUAACUAAAACAUGCACAAGAAAAUUCAGUCUUAUUCAGGUCAGGAAUAAAAACUGCUUACCUUCUUUUGAGUCCCCAUCGCGUGUACUUGUGCAAUCCCCUUGAGUUUGUAAUUUUCUAUUCCAUAUGUUAACAAAUUUCAUUAUAACCCUUGGCCUAAAUAGAGAAAUAUUAGGUCGUGUGAAUUACUAAAAUAUUUUAUUGAGAUAAUAUCAGAAAGAGACCCAACCCUCCCAAGAAAUUUUAUAACAUACCUUUCAACAUAGAACACACCCUUUACCACAUUAUGGGUGGAAGAUUGAGCACAUUGAUGAGAAGACUGAGUGGAAUCUCCGCGCAGAUAGCUUCUGCAGAAUGAUGCAGUCUCCUUACAACUCUAGAUUCUGCACGAUAGAAAAGAACAUUGAUAAGUUGCACAUAUUUUCUUUCAUAGUUGAUUAUUAACACAAAAAAGCACGCGAGGAGAAAUUACCUGGCAUGAGCACAUCAUGAACAGUUUAAAAGAUGUUAUUUCCUGCUGCCGUUCUUGAAGACUCACUUGUGGCAAAGAACUUCUUCUUGUCUUGGUAAAAUGGAGGAGCUGAAUGACUUCUUCUACUCUUCUUCUUCCUUACAAGCUCAUCUGUUUUACCUCGAUUUCCAGCGUCAAUCCAUUUAUGCGAGUCCCCAUCCACCCUAGAGGAGCAUAGCUUGUGGUAGCAACUAAUUUCAAGAUUCUCUUCACCAAGAGAAAGCAUGUGUCAAAUCAUCUCAAUCAAUCAUCUCAAUCAUAAUAGAAUCAAGAAGGACCUGAACUAUAAACAUCCCAUGGAUCCAGUCCCCUAUACCGGCCAUGCCAGUUUGCCCAAUUACAAGUAAAACUGCAAAACAAAAAAAUAGAAGAACACCCGUAAAAAGAUACUAACAAACACAAACUGUCAAACAACCUAUCAGUUGAGGAACGCAUGCAGCCCUAUAGACUACGACAACCAUUCCAAGUUACGAACAUAAUGUUGUCAGUCCAAUAUUUUGCAAAAUGAAUACCACAUCAUUCUCUCCUCAGCAUCUGUCCAUCUCGUGAGACACCAGAUCCUUCAAAAGAAAGUACCAACUUCAGGUGAUGAAGCAAAAUAAUAAAUUGAGCAGAAUUUAUACAUAUCAAAAUGCAUUUAGAUCGACGUCAAAGAAACUAAUAGAUACCAAUGUCAUCCACCUUAAACAAUUCAGGACCCAAUGUCUAUAGCAACAGAUACCUGGUUGAAAAUAGAAACUGGGUUAAAGUUCAACUUAGGAGUACACAAAUUAUAAGAAUAACAAACAUAAAAAGAGCAGUCCAACAAGGGAGUAAAUCUCAUGGAGAAAACAAAGUGCUGUUAUAAGAAUAUUCAUUUGUUAAAAAAAAUGCUUUGAUACUAGAAUUGAGCAUCAUACUAAGAGGAGAAAAGUAUAUCAAUUUUCAUAUAAAGCAUAUCCCUUGUAAAUCAGAGGUAGCAAAAAUAGAAACACAAGAAUCCAUUGAAGAGCCUCACUGAUCAGUGCCUUUGGUGCAAAGAGUCCAAGAUAUCAAAACUGCAUUAAAGCAUGACUGGCCAUAUUCUCAGCAGCCCACAUCUAUUGAUCCUCUAAACAUUAACAAAAUCAGAAAACAUAAAAAUCGCCCACUCUCUUAUAUGACACAAUUUACAACUUAUAAGAAACAAUUGAAAUCAGAAAGUCUAGAGCAUGUUCAUUUCAAAGAUGACACAAUUUACAACUUAUAAGAAACAAUUGAAAUCAGAAAGUCUAGAGCAUGUUCAUUUCAAAGAUGAAAAUAAGUCUAGACCAUGUAUAAGAAAAUGACCACUGAGGGUGUUCUGUCCAAUCGAGUGUCUUCAUUCAAAAUACUACAAAUCAUUUCUUAUAAUUAAACUACUUAUUUUUUAAGAAUUGUGCCAGUGGGGCCUUCAACAAGAAAAACUCCACAUUUUCCCAUUCAAUGGCUUCAUAAUUCAGUUAUAACUAACCAAAAACAACACCACGAGUAUCUAUCAUGAUUCAUGACUUCAUAAUUCAAUUAUAUAAAAAGGCUCACCUCUAUGUGACUAUCACUUUAAUCUUUGCUAGUGAAAGAAAGGCCAGCAUCUUCAAAUUGCUGCACCAUAUCAGGAUCCACCUACGUAGCGCAGGAUAAGUUUUUAGCAUACAUCCCUUACUAAAGAAAUCACAUCCUAUGGUCUACAUAUAAUUAUUAAACCAGUCCACCUAGAUGUGCAUUAGUUACACCACAGUUCCAAAUUUAAAGGAAAAAAAGUGGUGAACCUCAUAUAUAUGACGGUGCCUCUCAUCUGCAAAGCUCCGAUUGCCAAAUCUGAGAAAAGAUAUAAUUAAGACAGUUGGUAAUAUCAAUGGGAAAAAUCCUCCAGAAUGGCUUCACAAACUUAUCAACAAGCAUACCCAAUGUAUGCAAAAAAAAGAAUUUCAAGAAACCAGAGAGAAAAGGCAAAGAACCAUAUCAUUUUAAAAAAUACUUGGUCAGAAAUCAAAAAGUCAAUAAACGAAGUGUAGCAAAGACGACUUAUCACAUCUCUUUAUCCAUCAAUUUGGGGCUGCAUACGUUCAUUGUGUAAACACCAAGACCUGACAGUUAUCCUGAAAGUUAGAAUGCACCAACACUUACAUUCAAUUUGUUAAGGAAACUCAGAUGAAUUCCAAACCCACUAGACAACAGCGGCAAGGAGAAGGAGAAGCACAUGUGCAAAGCAGGUCAUCCUCACUGCAUGCAAAUGAACAAAAUCUAAGGAACUAGACAGGAAAUCCUUAAGUUAGAUGGUGUAUUUAAAACGAACCUUCCAAUGUCAACAAUUUUGAAGGAGACACUGCGAUGCGCAAGGGAGAUUCUUAGCAGAGACUCUUUCGGAGAAUGCAAGACCCUACUUGGAUUUCAAGAUUAUAUAUGCAGACCAAAAAAUCAAUCAGAUCAGAGUACAGUUUAGAAGUAAAGUAUGUAAAGCAAUAUUUUUUACUUGUUUGAUUUUGAGAAAACUAGAAGAACUUGGAAUGCAUUUGCUUCCUUUGAACUUCUAAGUUGUAAAAUACAUCACGAACAAUUACUGCAAAAGAGAAACCCUAGAAAUUUCCUUUAUUAGCAGGCAGCAGUUAACUCAAUUAUCAAGUAGGCUUAUACAAAAUCACCUGCUAUACCAACAUCUCGUCUAUAAUCAUCAAUUCCAAGUUUACAAAACACUUGCCAUCCAGUUAACAAUGGCCAGAUAAGACUUCAAGGACCAGGUUAGUAGUUCUAUACCUAUCCUAGUGUCAACUACUUACUAUAACUCAAAAGAAUUUUACCUUCAAAACCUUACAAUAUCUAUUAGGCCUCCCAUGAGAUUUGGUAACAAUUCCAGAAAAGAAAUAUCAGAAAUAGAGCUCAGAAACAACUAGUUACCACAAGAUAUUCUUGAAAAACACAUCAAAAUAGCUUCAUCAGAUUAACACAAUCGGUAUCAGUGGUGCCAACAAUGAGAGUUAAAUACUGCACAUAAUCUCUGCUGAAUCGAUUGCAUAUCUACCAUGGAACAAAAAUGAACAAGUGACAUGUUUUUCUUUUUUUGUGGCGAUUAGUCAAACCAAUCCUAAUGUCGACUACUUACUAUAACUCAAAAGAAUUUUACCUUCAAAACCUUACAAUAUCUAUUAGGCCUCCGAUGAGAUUUGGUAACAAUUCCAGCAAAGAAAUAUGUAGAUAUGGUACAACAAAGUAGCGGCAGGUGAUGACCAGCACUUUUAACAAAUAGCAUGUCAUUGGAGUAAAUAGCUUCCUAUUCAGAUCUAGCAGAAUGUCUACAGAAUCACACAAUGUAAUCAAUUGAAACAAAAUUCAGUAAUCCUAAAAGUGCAACAGUUCUCAAGUUUGAUCUAGUCCACUGUCUGCAGUCGAAAACUAAGAGAAACCAGAUGCAGUCCUCUGGUUACAUGUGCUCCCACUUCCUCCACUUUUGUCACUUCCUCAGAGCCUAUUCUAGCUUUUCCUUUAUCCCCUCAUUCUAAUUAAUGGUAUUUCGUAAAACUUUUGAAACAUUAGCGUAGGUGUUAAAUGUUCAAAUGAAUUUAUUUACACCAAAGAAUAGAAAAGAUACUAACUCAGUCCUGAAGGAGGUAAGUUGAUUCAACCUUCUGACUAAAAGGAUACAUAAAAAGGUACUCAUUUAAAAUACUACAAAUCAAAGUUAGGCUACAGUUUUCCGGUGUUUAGAAAUAAUCAAAAGUCAAAAAGUCUAGACCAUGUAAAAGAAAGGGGCGGUGAGGGGAUUUUAAGUCUACAAUUGAGUGUCUUCAUUCAAAAUACUACAAAUCACAAACUUACUUAUAAUUAAACUACUUUUUUUUUAUAUAGUUGCGCAGUAGGCCUUCAAGAACAACUUCACGUCUUUUUUCAAUUCCAAUUUUCCAAGAGGAAGCAGGGGAAAUUAGGGCCAAACAAGUUCUUGAACAUCCUUAACAUGCAUUGACAGGAUGACAACCUAAUUUGCUUUUAAAAAAAAGUUUACUUGAAUUUUCUUGAAAAAGCCAACAAAUUCUUGAAAUUUUCUUGAAUUUCAACAUGCAAAAUCGAGUUCUUUGGAAGAAUAUCAAGAUAAUGAGUAGAGUACCAAGAGAUAGAUCAAUUGAUUUAGGGUUAGGGUUUUGAUCGGACAUCGUCACUUGAACCAUCAAGAACACCAACAAGUUCAAUGAACUUUUCUUAAAAAUUAAACACAAAAUAGAGUUGUUGAAUUCGAAUAUGCCGAAUGCCAAUGAAUCAUGAUAGAUUUGCCGAUAGCCGCCGGUAGCGUAGAAGUUCCGGCGGUCGAAGUAUUGAGUUCUAAAAUGGACACUAGGUUCUCUGUUUUAUAGUUUUAGAACCAGAUAAUACACGCGGCAGAAAAAUAGAACGCGGAAAAAUAACUACUUAAUAAAAAAUAUAUUACUUUUUUGUAAACUAUUUUAUUCUAGUAAUUAAUUUUUUAUACUUUUUGUAAUAGGAAGAAAUUAUUCAUUGAAUGUGAAACACGGCCAAAGAUAAUCUGUAAUACUUUGCAAAUGAACUAAAACAUUCAUAUUUUUUAUAUACUAGUUUCUCACAACGUGCGUUGCAUGUUUACUUUUUACUAUUAUUAUAUAAUUUAAAAUUGUGCUAUCAAAUAAAAAAUAUUUAAAUUAACAAUAUUAAUUUUACCAAUUAUAUUUCAUGUAUCAAUAAAAAUAAAUAAAAAGGGAUUGCGCAUUUGGCAUCAAGCAAAAAGUAUGUAAAAUUAAUUAACAUAAUAUAAUCUCCUUUAACUUUGUAUAAGUCUUUUUUAUGAUCUAAAUAUCAGUGAUAACAUUUUAUAGCCAUAAAUGAAUAUUAAAAAUACAUGCACACUUAUUGAUAAGAUUGACUAUUUUAUUUUAAUGAGAAACGAUAGAGUGAAAUAUUUAUAUUAUUUAAGUAAGGUUCUAAAAUUAAAAGACAGUACUAUCAAAAUUAUACAAGAUUAAAAGCAAUUACAUUUAAAAUAUAAAACUAAUAAAUAUAUAAUUUAAGCACUGAAUCUCAUACAUACAUCUAUUUCAAAAGCUCAUAAUAAUAGCUAAAAGAUUACAAUAUCAAAUGAGUUUAUUAGAAAUGCAAAAGGAAUUAAAAACAACAAUAAUCUUCGUGAUGGAGAAUAUAUAUCGAAAGAGAUAUGAGGAGUUAGGCAUGUCUAAAAAGAAGUCUUCAAGUUCUUCUCCCCACCUCAUGUAUUCUAUAUUUUCAUGUCUUUUUGGCGAAUCAUAGAUGGAAUAGUUUUUUUAUUAUCAGUUGAAUGACAAUUUCUUUCAUUUUUCAAUGUUAUCACCUAGUUCUUAAAUAGAUGUCUGUUUAAAUUCUAUAUUUUUCAGUUCUAAAUAAUAAUCUUUAAUAUACAGAUAGAUGGAAAGAUGAAAAAUACAAAUCAUAGUUAGACUUAAUAAGAGAAUUAACAUUACUACUAAUAAUUAUUACUUUGAACUUGGAAUCUAAUCUAGUUUGAAUGAAUAAUUAAAAAGAUGAAAAACACAAAUGAUUGUAAUUAGUAAUAAAUGAGGCAGUUACAAGUUAUCUCAAUAAUUUAUUACUAAUUCAUUCAUAUAUAAUAACACACUUUUAAUAUCAUAGUAAUAAUAAAUAAAAUAAAUGGCAUUAAUCGAUUAAAUAGGGGGGUCACUCUUUUCAUAUGCCAAUAAUUAUUUUAGGAUAUACGUGUACAAUUAAAAUAUAUCUUUUCACAUUCCAAACAUUUAAUUAUUUGCUUAUAUUUUAAUUAAGAAUUAAUUUAAGAAAAUGCAAAAGUCAUCUACAUUUUUAUUAAAAUGAUACAAGUUAACAUUUAAACUAAAUAAAUACUUAAGUGCUUUUAUAACAUUUUAAUUUUUAGUAUGGAUAAAAUUGUAAUUCAACUUUUAACUUUUUUUUGUUCUCUCUUAUAAUAAUACUAGUAUCUGGAACGUGCGUUGCACGUUUGUCCCUUAAUAUUUUUAUUUUAAGUUUUUCUUUAUAAAGUUCAAUUAUAUAUCAAGAAAUGCAAAAAUUAACAAUUUUAAUUAUGAUUUAAUCUCAAAUGGUAUGAAUAUGUCUAUGAAUAGCUAAUUAUUUUUUCAGAUCAAACAACUUAUUUAUUGAAGUAGUUUACAAUGAUUUUUUACUCGAAAAAAUAAUAAACAGAUGUAAGAUUCUUUUUCUUUUGUGCUUAUAUGAAUUGCAUUUUUUUCCUUUUUUUAAAAAAAAUAUACAAUAGUAUUUUUUUAAUGAAAAUAGAAAAAAUUGACGAACAUUAUUCUCAUUUUCGAAUAUCUUUUGAUCUUUGUUUCCAUAAGAUGAAAAUUAAUUAUAUGAACCAAAAGAUUAAUUUAAGAAAUUGGGAUAAAUAGUUCUAAUUUAAAAAUAAUCAUUUCGUUUUCAUAUCAAACACUAUAUUGCUAAACAUACUAAGAUUGAGGCUUAAACCACACAUACAUAUAUAAAAAGGAUAGAUAUACCUGAAAAAAAAGAAUCUCUAGCAGAAUGAGAAUGAAUGGAAGAUGAGAGCAAGAAAACUUACUGUGUACCUAUAUAGAGUUUUGUAAUGUAAAGAAUAUGAAAAGAUGGAGAAAAUUAUAUAAACAUUGAUCAACAAUAACCAAGAAAAAUAUGACAUGAACCGUUUUUGGAUUGUAAUCAAGGAGCUUAUGACUAUCUAUCUUCAAUCUGAAGUAUUGAAUUUAGUGUAAAGCAUUAAGUGCGGUUGGAAUGAGUUUAACUGCAGAAACUCAAAGGAUCAUUAAUUAAAAAAAAAAACUGUUUUGCUAUCAUUAUUUAUUUAAUUUUCAAAUUUACAUUUUCUAAUUUAAUAAAAAAGUGAAGGGCAUUUUAGUAAUCCAACUUUAAACUCAAAACCUUCCCACUUAUAAUAAUACUAGUUUCUGACAACGUGCGUUGCAUGUUAAUUUUAUCAAUUAUAUUUCAUCUAUCAACAAAAAUAAAUAUUAAGGGAUUGCGCAUUUGGCAUUCAGCAAAAAAUAUGUGAAAUUAAUUAAUAUACUAUAGUCUCCUUUAACUUUGUAUAAGUCUUUUUUAUGAUCUAAAUAUCAUUGUUAACCUUUUAUAGCCAUAAAUGGAUAUUAAAAAUACAUACACACUUAUUGAUAAGAUUGCCUAUAUUAUUUUAAUGAAAAACGAAAGAGUGAAAUAUUUAUAUUAUUUAAGGUUCUAAAAUUAAAAGAUAGUACUAUCAAGAUUAUACAAAUUAAAAACAAUUACAUUUAAAAUAUAAAACUGACAGAUAUAUAAUUUAAACACUGAACUUUAUACAUACAUCUAUUUCAAAAGCUCAUAAUAAUAGCUAAAAGAUUACAACACCACAAUGAGUUUAUUAGAAACACAAAAGAAAUUAGAAACAACAAUAAUCUUCGUGAUGGAGAAUAUAUAUUGAAAGAGAUAUGAGGACUUAGGCUGUCUAAAAAGAAGUCAAGUUCUACUCCCCACCUCAUGUAUUCUAUUUUUUCAUGUCUUUUUUGCCUAUCAUAGAUGAAAUAGUUUUUUGAUUAUCAGUUGAAUGACAAUUUCUUUCAUUUUUCAAUGGUUAUCACAUAGUUUUUAAAUAGUAGUAAAAAUAUAUGUCUGAAUUCUAUAUUUUUCAGUUCUAAAUAAUAGUCUUUAAUAUAUAGAUAGAUGGAAAGAUGAAAAAUACAAGUCAUAGUUAGACUUAAUAAGAGAAUUAACAUUACCACUAAUAAUUAUUGCUCUGAACUUGGAAUCUAGUCUUAGUUUAAAUGAAUAGUUAAAAAGAUGAAAAACACAAAUCAUUGUAAUUAGUAAUAAAUGAAACAAUUACAAGUCAUCUCAAUAAUUUAUUACUAAUUCAUUCAUAUAUAAUAACACACUUUUAAUAUCUUAGUAAUAAUAAAUCAAAUAAAUAAAAUCAGUGAUAUUAAUCGGAUAAAUGGAGGGUCACUCUUUUCAUAUGCCAGUAAUUAUUCUAGGAUAUACAUGUACAAUUAAAAUAUAUCUUUUCACAUUCCAAACAUUUAAUUAUUUGCUUAUAUUUUAAUUAAGAAUUAAUUUAAGGAAAUGCAAAAGUCAUCUACAUUUUUAUUAAAAUGAUACAAUUUAAUAUUUAAAAUAAAUAAUUAAAUGCUUUUAUAACAUUUUAAUUUAUAGUAAGGAUAAAAUUAUAAUUCAACUUUUAACUUUUUUGUUCUCUCUUAUAAUAAUACUACUGAAGACGUGCUUUGCACGUGUGUUCUAUGUGAAUUUUUAUAGAUAUGUUAUAAUGAUAAAAAUUUUAUGAAAAUAUAUAUGUAAAUUAAUGAAUAAUAUAAUGUAACAAUUACAAAAUAAGAAUAAAGACUUACGCAAUAAAACAUUCAUAAAAAAACUAAAUUAAGAAGUCGGAUGGUGAUAAAAAAAAAAGACAAAAAGAAACAGAUUUAAGAAAGAUCCAAUGUAAACAUUGUUCUUAUAAGGCUGAUGUAUGUAUAGAUGAAAAAAUAAGUACAAAAUUAGUACAUAACUCUCUGAGUUCUUAUCGACUCCUUUCAUAUUCUAUCAAAAUUCAAGAGGUUUCUUUAUCUACUUUAACUAUAGAAUGAAAAUGAUAGCCUAAUAAUCUUGGUAGGAUUUCACGAGAUUAAAAAAGUUGAAUUUAUAUAGAUAGAAUAGAAGGAAUAUCAAAAGAUAUAUUAAAGUUUUAGUUUAAAUAUUUGGAGGUUAUGAAUAUGAAAAGAUGAAAGUUCUGAAUAUUAAGAGUAUAAAGUUGAAUAAGUAAUUAACAAAUAAUAAUAAAUAAAUGAAGAAUAUGAAAUAAGAAGUUAAAAUUAGCAAACCAUGUAGAAAGAACAACUAAAAGUCUUAUCACGUAAUUAAGCGUUAAUGAAUUUAAAUUUGUAAAGAUAGAGUCAUUCUUUAAUAAUAAUCGAGAGGACAUUAUCAACGUGUGUCUCCAUUUUGCAAAUUUGCACCGUUUAUAUUAUUAAAUUCGUUAUUUAUCAUAAAGGAUAAUACUUUAUCCACAUAAAUUAUAUUAUUCAUGAGAGGGGUUAAGGAAAAAGUUACAGAAAGAGGAAAAAUAUAGCAAUUUAGUAAAUACUUUUUUUAAAAAAAAAUUAUAAUUAUUAUAUACAUAUAGAUUAUAGAUGAUAAAUAUUAAUUAAUUGGAUAUUUAAUUAGAAAUCAAUCUUUAGAAGUCUAAAAGUCAUUAACCUUUUAAUUAAAUUUAUACAAUCAAAUAUUUAAAUAUUUUAUAACAAUUUAAUUUAUAGAAGGGGUAAAACUGUAAUUCAACUUUCAACUUUUUUUGUUCAUGCUUUUAGUAAUACUAGUUCUCGGAACGUGCAUCGCACGUUUGUCCCCUAAUUGAUAUUAGAAAAUUUUAAUUUGUAUAGCUAAGUUCAAAUCUAAGUCCUUUCAUAUGUAAGUUUAACAUAAGAAUAUAACUCGGCAAAAAAUAUGACAUGAAAAUCUUGUGUUAGAUGUUGGAAGUUUUAUAUAUUAAAUACUUCAUGAAAAAUAAACAUUUAUUUUAUCAGAGGAUUAAUAUAUUUUAAUUACUAAACAUAAGUUUUAAUAAUCAAAAAAGAUAUUGUCUAUUAAAAAAAUAUACGUAUAAAGAAAAAUAUUACAAAAUGUUGGGCGGUAUACCAUCAAAUUUAUAGAAAAAAAUACAAUUUCAAACGAAAAAAAAAGAAGUAAAUAAAGACAUGGCAUCCAUAAAAAAAGUCAUCACAUUAAAAUAUAAAGAGAAAUUUUUUUUCAUACUAAUUGAAUUACAUUUUGUUAAAAGUAGACUUAUUCUAGACAAAACAUGACUUACUCUAGACAAAACAUAUAGUAUAUAAUAAUAAUAAAUAAGACAAACAGAAAGAAGGCAUCAAUAUGUUAUGAAUAAAGAUAAACUAUAUAUAUAUAUAAAUUCUAAAAUAAUAUUAUUCAAUGUAUCAUUUAGUCAUUUUUUUACUAUACAUUAAUUUUUUAUUAUUUUUACUUUUGCACUUAUUUUGUACCUCUCUAUAACAGUUAAACAUAUGAAUUUUUUGAACGUUUGAGAUUACAUAUAAAAAGGAAAAAGUACAAAUAUGUUGAUUUAAAAAGAUAAAUAAUUAUCAAACAAUGAAAAAGACAUAAUUAUUAUUCUAUGGGAUUUAACAUGUUUGCCCUCAAAAUAAUUAAUGAUAAACACAAAAUGUGAUUAGCUUUACUACAUAUAUCCUAAAAAUAGAAGAAAGGAUAUGAAUACAAAAAUACAGUAAUCAACUACAAAGUUAUAUUUAAAAACUCAAAACGAUGAAGAUGUGAAAAAUAAAUAUUUACUUACAACUUCAUAUUGGAGUAUAUUCAUCUUGUAACUAUCAUAAUAUAUUUCUCAACAAAAAGAAGAUGAAUAUGCAUGAAAUUUUAAAGAAUACAAAUAAAUAAAAUAGUAUGAAUUCUUAUAAUUACAAACUGAUAAUGAAAUUUUACAAGGGAUGUAGACUAACCUAUUGUAGUAUGCAAGAUGAUUACAAACUUGAAUGAAAUAAGUAAUAUAUAUAUUGUGGUGAGAGUGUGUUUGAUAGACUCUUCAUUACCCCUACUUAUCUUACAAAUUAAAGUUGAAAGGUUAUUAGACUCUUCAUUAUCUACAUUUAAUUAGUACAUGAAUAUAUGAUGCAUUAAGAUCUUAUUUGAUGCAUGAAUUUAAAUAUAACUUUUACUUAAUAUUUAAUUAAUUAAAUAGAUAUUAAUGUUAAUUUAUUUUAGAGAAAAAAAUAAGGAUAAAAUGAUAAUUCAACUUUGAGGUUUGGAGCUUCCCACUUAUAAUAAUAUAUGAUAUGAUAUGAUUUCUGCAGCAGUAUAAUGUUAUGUUGUUUUUUAUUUGUUGGGAAAACUCAAACAAGCAUGAAAAUAUAUAUGGUAAAAGUAAUGAAAAUAAAAUGAGAAAAUAAUGACAUCAAGAAUUUUAGGUGGAAAUCCUUUAAAAUAAGGGAAAAAUCACAGGCCAAAAGGAGCAACUGAUAUUAUUAUAGUAAGAAAUUUUAAACUGUGUAGUCACGAAUACAAUAAUCAAAGUGACUAUUAUACACUAAAAAAAACAACACUCUUUUGGUUUCCAUCUUAAUAAAAUAUCGCUCACACUCUUUUUUUUUCGCAGACGAUUUUUCUUGCGUAGUCUAUGGAAUAUCUCACUUUGAUCCCAAAAUAAUUUUUUCUCUCUAACUUGGUAUGUUCUACAAAUAAGUAAGAAUGCUCUAUUUAUAGAAGGAGAAAUCAUGUCUAUGUCACUACUGCCAUAGGUAAAUAUAGCAAAGUCAACAAAGGGUUGCAAACCUUACCAAUUUGCUAACUAUCAAAUCAUUUAUUUGCAACUCUGAUUAUUAUUCCUUUUUAACAAUUACUUGUAGCAAUUAAAUAGCAAAAAUUGAUCAAAAAAUGAAAUGGACUCAACAGUAUUGAGGUCUUGAGGAUAACGUAGACUUUAGCUCUUUGAGAAGCUCCAAUUCCCCUGUUAUAAAUUGCCUUCCAACUCAUGGCCAUAAUACUACUAAUGCAAACUCUCAUGUGUCCACUUAUAUCAAAACUAUAACAAAAAACAAAUCAAUCAUAUAGAAGAUUCAACUGGUAGAGAGGCAUUUGUUGUACUGUUGAUUGACUAUAGCACAUGGUUUUGCUACUCAACUCAUUGUCAUUGCUCUUCAAUAUCAGCAGUCCCUACAGCCAGCCCCCCAGUGUUUUUCACAACAAGAUAGAGAAUAGAAGACUAUUAAAAAUUAAUUUGAUAACUUUGAGUCAUUGUCAACACAGAUUCUUUUGAGAUAAUAACAGGUAAUUCCCAUUAGUAACAAAAUCUGACCAUUAUGUAGGAUCAACUUUUCUGAUAGAAUAAUCCAAGCUAUUUCAAAGAUUUUGGGAAAUGUUUCCAAAUAGUAGAGAAUAUAUAUUUUUUUUAACUGGCUAUCGACAUAUAUGUGUGACUAUGUUUUGCAAAUCUCCAUUAAAUUAUGAGUCAGUCAAAACCUAUUGCCAGAAAUAUGAGUUCAUAUUCAAGAAGAGUAAAGAUGUUAUUUCUUCUAAAGAGUUAAUUAAUUUGCAUCUGUAUUUUGUCACAUUUGACUGCACUCAGUACUGACACUAUACAUCUUGAGUUAUACCUCACUGCCGCUAUCAAGUGCAGCAAGCUUCAUUUGAAACCAUUAAGUGUAAUUAUCAUUUUUACCAAAUUGAAUGAGUUAUGCCACUUUAGGGGACCAGAUUGUAGUUCAUUCUGAUUAACAAACGGUAAGAGUUGACCAAAAAACUUCUAUUGUAAUGAAUUGAUUACAUUAAUAUAUGGAAGUAAAAAGUUUCAUUACUUCAAUUUCUUUUGAAGUAGAAAAGUGUGUCCUUAGUCUACCUAGUGUUUCUUAUAACUCUCAACCGUACACAGUGGAGUUCCUAGCUUACUACAACUAUACAAAAUUGAGUUAACAAAAAAAUAGGGACUGGUUUCCUUCUCACUUCCUCAAUCGAGAUGUGACAUCGAUGAACAAAUCCUCACUGCAGGGAAUAGUCACACCACCCAUUGGAUGGUCGAAGCCAAAUUCUUCCUCAGCUUGACUAAGCAAGUCUUGAAAUAAAGGUUCGCUCAAGAAUGAUAUGGGGAUCAUGAAUCUCUUUUUCUGCAUCUCCCCAACAUACACAGCAAAAUGGCCCUUGGGAAUAUCUCUGGUUGCGGAAGACUUCUUGAUCAUACGAAGAAUAGCCAUGAUGAUUUAGUUUUAGUAUAGAUAAGAAAGGUAAAAGAAAUACAAAGGAACUCAAAAGCAGAAAAAAGUUUUGAUGUUUGCUGAGAGCUGUUGUGGAAGAUACCACUUUGGAUGUUUAUAUAGGCAAUAUCGACUCAUUCUGAUGUAUUUUGAGUAGGAAUUUGUGGGCACCAGCAGAAGACAAUGUCACUGAAGUAUCACAUGCUCUUGCCUUCCAAGUAUUGAAAACUUUGUGGUAUUAGUUGAAGAACAAUAGGCCCUACAUUUUUUUGAAUCUUGGAAAGAAGCAUUAUUCAUUAUGGAAUUUUUGAGAAGUCAUAAAGUUCUUGAUUCUGGUGAAGAGCCAUUUGGAUUGGACAUCAGUUAAAGACGAUGAUAUAUCAGUAAUCACAUGGCCCUGCCUUCCAGCUAGUUGACAUGAGUAAUUGCUUUAGCUCAUCAGAUCAAGUUCAAUAGGUCCUGCAUAUAUUUUCCUAUAGGGAACCAAGGAUCUCUAAGAAUCAAAUCCAUAAAAAUUGCUGGUAGCCUAUGAUGCAAACUGUGUCCACUUAUAUACAAACUAUAAGAGAAGAGAAGUCAAAAAUAUGAAAGAUUUCACUGGUGGAGAGGUAUUUGUUGCACUGUUUAUUGACAAUAGCACAUGAAGCAUCACAUGGUGUUGUUGCCAACUCAUUGUCUAAUAUAUAUGAUCUUAGCAAAUUGCUCAUGAAUAUCAUCAGACCCCAGUGUUUUUCAUGACAAGAUAGAGAACAGACUAUCUUUAGAGAUCAAAUUGAUAAUUUACUGCAAUAGUUGACAACUUGUGGGAUCAACAUUCCGGAUGAGAAUAACCCAUGGUAUUUCAAUAGUUUUUGACAAGUGUUUUCAAAUAGUAGAUAACAGAAAUGUUUAUUGACUAUCAAUAUGUCUAUGUUUUGCAUAUCCAUCAAAUUAUGAGUCAGUCAGAACCUUACUGUUGCCAGAAAUUUGAAUCCAUAUUCAAGAAAAGUAUAGAUAUUAUAUCUUAUUAAGAGUUGAUGAAUUUACAUCCAUUUUCUAUCUCAUUCAGUUAACUCAGUAAUUUCACAUUACUGCAGAAUAUCAGAUCUAGUACAUAUUGAGUUAUUUGUACAUUGUACGACGGAUGCUGCCAAGUGCAUCUAAUUUAUUUGGAACCCCAAAGUGUAAUUAUUACCAAUAGAAUGAAUUGUGCCACUAAAGAAUGAAUUGAGAAAACCAUGAGAGUUGAGCAAAAAAUUUCUAUUGCAAUGAAUUGAUUACAUCAAUGUAUGGAAGUAAAAUGUUUCAUUACUUCAAUUACUUUUGAAGUAGAAAAAUGUGUCCUUAGUCUACCUAGUGUUUCUUAUAACUCUCAACUGUACACAGUGGAGUUCCUGGCUUACUACAACUAUACAAAAUUGAGUUAACAAAAAAAUAGGGACUGGUUUCCUUCUCACAUUCUCAAUCGAGAUGUGACAUCGAUGAACAAAUCCUCACUGCAGGGAAUAGUCACACCACCCAUUGGAUGGUCGAAGCCAAAUUCUUCCUCAGCUUGACUAAGCAAGUCUUGAAAUAAAGGUUCGCUCAAGAAUGAUAUGGGGAUCACAAAUCUCUUUUUCUGCAUCUCCCCAACAUACACAGCAAAAUGGCCCUUGGGAAUAUCUCUGGUUGCGGAAGGCUUCUUGAUCAUACGAAGAAUAGCCAUGAUGAUUUAGUUUUAGUAUAGAUAAGAAAGGUAAAAGAAUUACAAGGAACUCAAAAGCAGAGAAAGUUUUGAUGUUUGCUGAGAGCUGUGGUAGUAGAUAUCUCUUUGGAUAUGUUUAUAUAGACAAUGGAAACUCAUACCGAUGUGGUGUUGAAUAAGAAAUUGUGGGCACCAGCAGAAGACAAUGUCACUGAAGUAUCACAUGCUCUUGCCUUCCAAGUAUUGAAAACUUUGUGGUAUUAGUUAAAGAACAAUAGGCCCUACCUUAUUUUGAAACUUCGAUAGAAGCAUAAUUCAUUAUAGAAUUUUUGAGAAGCUAUGACCUGGAACAUGGACCACUAACAUGAAAAACAUAACCACAUUGGGAAACAUAAAAUUUCAUUAAUUAAUAUCCCAAAACAACAAGUAACAUGAGAGAGGUCAAACUCUUCCCAUCUUUGGACUUGAAAGGCUUUAGUUAUCAAGGAUUACAGGCCCUACCUUUUCUUUGAACUUAAAGAGCAAAGUAUCCCUCACAACCAAAUAGCUAAACAAGUAUUGUCUAGGUACACAUCAAAUUUUAUAUGUUGACAUGUUUUUGUUGUAAGAAUUAUUCCUGAGAAAACAAAAAUAGUUUAUAUGGCCAUAAGCUUCCAAUUCCAAGUGCUUCCUAGCAUAGGUUUAUAACUUUUCAUUAAUCAUUAUGGCUCUAAUUGGUUGAAAAGAAUUUGUAUAUGGAGUCUUAGGAAGUGGUUCUAAGAUCUUAAAAUUGUUGUUGUGAUAUCUCAACAUCACAUUCUCACUUACCAUUCUACUUGUCAUUAAAUAAAUAUACAAAGCAAAAGACCAUCAAUAGGCACCUGAUGGAUAUCAUAUGGUUUUACCUUCUAUGUCCUUUUGGGCACUGCUUAUGAUUUGUGAUAUAGUCCUAUUUUCAUGACCAUACAUAAAAAAAGUGAAAAACCAAGUUGAGAAGAGGAAAGAGGAUAAAGGUGAAUUUUUGCGUUGAUCUACAUUGUAGACUCUACAACUAUUUGAAGUAAGUAAAACACAUAAAGCUAUGGUUUGGAUUCAAUAACUUGCAAACAAAUAUUAUUAGUUACUUCUACACAGGCCUCUCUUAGAGAACCAUAGAGUAAAUACAGUUGUGCUAAGGCCUCUCUUAGAGAACCAUAGAGUAAAUACAGUUGUGCUAAUCGAUGCUUUUAGAAACAAGUUGGCAUAGAUAUAUGCAAUGUUUUCUUCUCAUAUCAUAAGUCAUUUGAUCAAAUGGUUGGACCAACUUUGCAGAUCAGAAUUGUCCUGAGUUUUUCAGCUGCUCGAGCGAAAUUCUAAUAAAUCAUCAAACCAGUAUUGAUUUUUCAGAAGAGAAGAAAUAGAAAAUGUCUAAUGAAGUGUGAAGUUGUGAACUAUGAAUGUGACUUCUUCGAUAUUUUGAAAUUUCUUCUGCUGAUUUCAUUUCUUUGGCUGCGCCAAAUAUAUUUCAGUGUUCAGGAUAAGGUCACAGAUGAGUUUUCUUUAGAGUUAAUUAACAUAGACUUCAGCACUUUAUAAGGUCCAAUUCCUAUGUUAUGGAAAGAACAGUCAUGUAAAGAAAUUUGUUGAACAGAAAUAAUAAUACCAAAUUGGAUACUGAAUGAGUCUGAACUGAUUUCAUUUGCUAAACUACUGAAAAUUGUAUUCAAAAUUGGGAUCUAUAGAUCCAGCUGACAGUAGUGAGAAGUAACAAUGUGUGUUUCCUAAUUCCUCUUAUGUACAAACUAAAAAUCCUAUUCUUUACAAAACUGUGAAAAUAAAAGCCUCAGAUCCUAUUCAAGCGAGAAGUAAGAUCAACGAACACAUCUUCACUGCAGGGUAUUGUUACACCACCCAUUGGAUGAUCGAAGCCAAAUUCUUCCUCAGCUUGACUAAGCAAGUCUUGAAAUAAAGGUUGGCUCAAGAAUGAAAUGGGAAUUACAAAUCUCUUCUUUUGGUUCUCCCCAACAUAAACAGCAAAGUGGCCUUUAGGAACAUCUGCGACUGUAGAGGACUUCUUGAUUAUACGAGGCAUACGGAUAGCCAUGGUCUUUUAGUUCAAUAUAUAGAUGAGGAAAUAAGGAAGGGAAGAAUUUGUAAGGACUCUGAAAGAACAGAUAAGCUUUGUAUGACUUAAAUUUUUGGUCAGAGCUGUUAUGGUAAACCCUUCUUUAUAUGUGUUUAUAUAGGCCAAUGACAAGUUGUCAAACCCCACUGAUGUCUGAAUAUACAUUUUGUGGACACCAGCUAAAGACAGUAGCACCUGAAGUAUCACAUGGUUUUGCCUUCCAACUCAUUGUCAUAAUAUUAAUGCAAACUCUCAUGUCCACUUAUAUAAAAACUAUAAGAGAAAACAAAUCAAUCAUAUAGAAGAUUCAACUGGUGGAGAGGCAUUUGUAGUAAUGUUGAUUGACAAUAGCACAUGGUUUUGCUACUCAACUCAUUGUCAAGUAUAUAUGAUCUUAGUCAUUGCACUUCAAUAUUAGCAGUCCCUUGUUUUUCAGGACAAGAUAGAGAACUGAAGAUUUUUAGAAAUCAAUAUGCUAACAUUGAGUCAUUGUCAACAGCAGGAUUUUAUGAGUUUGAUCAGAAUGAUAAUAACAGGUAAAAUUUACUACCAUCUGACCAUUUGCGUAGUCCCUCAAGCUAAGUCAUUAUGUAGGAACAACUUUCCUGAUUAAAAUAAACCAACCCAUUUCAAUAGAUUUUUUCUACAUGUUUCCAAAUAGUAGAGAAUACUAUAUAUUCUUUACUGGCUAUCUCUGUCCAUGUUAUGCGAAUCUCCAUCAAAUUAUUAGUCAGUCAACACCUUAUUAUUGCUACAAAUUCGAAUUUCAUAUUCAAAAGUACAGAUACUAUUUCUUAUGAAGAGUUCAUAAAGUGUAAUUAUCAUUUUUACCAAUUGAAUGAGGUAUGCCACUUAAGAGGACUAGAUUGUAGUUCUUUCUGAUUACCAAACCAUUAGAGUUGAGCAAACAAUUUCUAUUGCAAUGAAUUGAUUACAUCAAUGUAUGGAAGUAAAAAGUUUCAUUACUUCAAUUUCUUUUGAAGUAGAAAAAUGUGUCCUAGUCUAGCUAUUGUUUCUUCUAACUCUCAACUGUACACAGUGGAGUUCCUGGCUUACUAACAACUAUACAAAAUUGUGUAACAAAAAAAUGGGGACUAGUUUCCUUCUCACUUCCUCAAUCGAAAUGUGAGAUCCAUGAACAAAAACUCACUGCAGGGAAUAGUAACACCGCCCAUCGGAUGUUCGAAGCCAAAUUCAUCCUCGGCUUGACUAAGCAAGUCUUGAAACAAAGGUUCGCUCAAGAAUGAUAUUGGAAUUACAAAUCUCUUUUUCUGCAUCUCUCCAACAUACACAGCAAAAUGGCCCUUGGGAAUAUCUCUAGUUGCGGAAUACUUCUUGAUCAUACGGAGAAUAGCCAUGAUCUCUUAGUUUUAGUAUAGAUGAAAAAAAAAGGACUGUUGAGGGAACUCAAAAGCAGAGAAAACGUUGAUGUUUACUCAGUGUUGUGGUGGUAGAUACCUCUUUGGAUAUAUUUAUAUAGGAAAUGGCAACUCAUAUUGAUGUGAAUUGAUUAGGAAUUUGCGGGCUCCAGCAGAAGACAAUGGCACUCAAGUAUCACAUGCUCUUGCCUUCCAAGUAUUGAAAACAUUGUGGUAUUAGUUGACUAACAAUAGGCCCUACCUUUUUUGAAAACUUGGAAAGUAGCGUUAUACAUUACAUAAUUUUUAGGAAGUGAUGAGAAGUCGAUAACCUCUUGAUAUGUGAUGAAGAGCCAGUUGGAUUGGGCAUCACAUGGUCAUGCCUUCCAACUAGUUGACAUGAUUAAUUGUUUUAGCUCAUAUUAGAUCAAGUUCUAUAGGUCCUACAUAUAUUUUCCUAUAGGGAACAAAGGAUCUCUAAGAAUCAAGUCCAUUAAUAUUGCUGGCAGCUUGUGUUGAUUUCAAGGAAUAAAACAUACCCCAGAUGCAAACUUUGUAUCCACUUAUAUACAAAAUAUAUGAGUAAAAUAUGAAAAAUUACACUGGUUGACACUGUUUAUUGAUAACAGAAAUAUUAUGGGCUUUCAACAUGUCUGUGUUUGCAAAUCUCCAUAAAAUUAUGAGUCGGUCAAAAAGAAGACGACUGGACUGAGGAGAAGGAGAAGAGGCAGCACAGAAUUGAGAGGAAACUGAAAAAGAAGUCGACUUUCAUGAAGACAGUAGAAAAGAGGAAGUGAGGGUAACUGAACACUCCCCAACCCUAGAAGAUAGUGCCAUGCAAGUUUCAGCUAUGUUGAGAAGUGAUUAUAACAUCUACGGGUUGACAACAAUUGAAGAUGCAGUACCUUUAAACCAACAUAACCCAGGGGAAGGGGAGGUCCGAAUUUUGAUAUUCCUAUAUGGAUUCAUCAGAACAUUAUCAAAUUUGCCAAAGAAUUUGGUGUCGACAUCACGGGGUGCAAAGAGGAACUAAACAUGAGACAAAAAAAUUCGACAAUGAAGAAACGAACAGGAGAAUGACCUCAGAAACAAGGGAGCAAAGAAUGAAUCUCGAGUGCGGAAGUAAUUUCAGAAGCAAAGGCACAAGAAGGGGGUGGGGGUGGGCUACAGAUCAGCAAAUGCUCAUAGAAGCUAUAACAAUAUUGAUGAAUUAAUGGUGGAUGGGGAAGCAACCCAAAAACCAGAAGUUAUAAAGAAGGAGAUUGAGGAGUUCUAUUAAAGAAUAUAUACUGAAACUGAGACAUGGAGGCCAGCUGGAGGAUGCAGGGCAGACCACAGAGCACAGAGUUUCUAUUGAAGACAAUCAUUCUAUGUAAGCUAGAUAUACAAAAAGCUUUGGAGGUAGAUGGAUAAGAUGGAUGAAGUUCUGCAAAAGCACCGUCAAAUUCUCUGUCCUUAUCAAUCAAUGGCUCCCCUACAGGUGAGCCUUCUCCUCACAGAGAGGUCUAAGGCAAGGAGACCCAUUAUCUCCUUUUCUCUUCAUCAUUGCCAUGGGAAGUCUUAAUGAUAUGUUGAGAAUUGCUCAAGAAAAUAGCUGGUUGAAGGGAUUCAAAGCUGCACACAGGGAAGGCUCAAACUUGGAGAUACUCAUUUGCUUUGCAGUACGCUGAUGAUACAUUUAUCUUUUGUGAGGCUAUUAAGAACCAACCCAUGAUUCUCAAGGUCAUUUUUGUUCUUUUUGAAGCAAUCCUACGAUCACACAUCAACUGGAAUAAGAGCUUCAUAUAUCCAGUUAAUGAGGUUUCUAACCUAACCUAAUUGGCUGGGGUCCUUGGUGGAAGUAUUGGGAAGCUACCAACUGUCUACUUGGGCAUGCCUCUGGGUGAUCAGAAUAUGUCUAUAGAUAUAUGGAAUGGGGUGGUAAAGAACUGCGAGAAGAGGUUGGUAAACUGAAAAAGUCAAUAUCUCUCCUUAGGAGGAAGACUAGCACUAAUCAAUAGUGUUUUGGACUCUAUACCUACCUAUAUGAUGUCCCUCUUCCCUAUCCCUGAUGGGGUCAUUGAGAGAUUGGAUGUUCUAAGAAGAAAUUCAGUGAAACCAAGAAGUUCCACUUGGUGAAAUGGGAUGCACUGAUUGGAAGUGAACAAAAAGGGGGUAUGGGGGUGAGGAACUUAAAAACUCAGAACCAAUGUCUUAUGAUGAAAUGGCUCUGGAUAAUUGCUUCUAGGGAGUCAGCUCUCUGGAAAGAAGUUAUCCAGCUGAAGUAUGAAAUGGCAGAUCAUUGGACCACCAGAAUGGUCACCGAUACUUAUGGGAUCAACCUUUGGAGAUCCAUCAGAAACCUGUGGCCAAAGCUUAGAGAAAAUUGCAGCAUAAGAACAGAAGAUGGCAGGAAGGUACUUUUCUAGGAAUACAAGUGGUUACAUCAAGCCCCCCUAAGGGACACCUUCAAUGAUAUUUACACCCUAACCAACAACAAAGGGCCACUGUGGAUGAUGUCUAGUCUAACCAGGGAUGGAAUUUGAGCUUUAGAAGACCUUUUAAUGACUAGGAGAUUUUGAGGUUAGUUGAGUUCUACAGCAAAUUGGAGCAAUUCAAAGGAACCUUCACUGACCAAGAUAGAUUGGAGUGGAAGGGCCACAGUCAAGGUAGUUUCAGUAUGAAAGGGGCCUAAAAAAAAUUUAACCCUAAUAAUUAUCAGAUUGAGGACUGGCCUUGGAAGCUUAUAUGGAAAGUCAAAAUUUCUUAUGAAGUUUCCUGCUUCACUUGGCUUGUGGCCAAACAAGCUGUUUUAACCCAAGAAAACCUCAUGAAAAGGGGGAUACAUCUAAGUCCAAGGUGUUUUUUUUGGGAAGAAAAGGCUGAGACUGUAACCCACCUUUUUUGUACACUACAGGAUUACCCGUCAACUAUGGGAAAUAUUCCCAAGUAAGAAGGGCCUGAAUUGGGUAAUGCCAAGGAAAAUAAAUCAGACUUUGAAGAUCUGGAGCAGUUAUGCUAGCAUGUCAGACCAUAAGGAUAGGUGGAAAAUUGCACCAGCUUGAAUUUGGUGGGCUGCUUGGCGAUGAAGAUGAAGUGUUUAGUUUUGUUUCACUUUUGGUGUAAACAGGAGUAUAGGGAAGAUCUAGAAUCAAUUAAAGAUGUCUUAGGAUUAUUGUAAUUUUUUGUUGAAAGGGUUGAAGUUCUUCUAGAUACUCCCCUCCUCAAUUGUAAUUAGGAAACCUGUAACUUGUCGUGGCAGGUUUCUGUUUUUGUGGAAAUAGAAUACAAGUCGUUACCUUCUCAAAAAAAAAGUAUAAACAUGAAAUACAAAUUAUUAAGAGUUAAUCAAUUUACAUCCAGUUCUAUUGGAUUGAGUUUAACUCAGUACUUUCACAUUGCUGCAGAAUGGCAGAUCUAGUACAUCUUGAGUUACACUUCAUUGUAUGAUGAACACUACCAUGUGUAUUUUAACUUCAUUUUGACCACAAAGUAUAAUUCUUACCAACGGAAUGAGUUGUGGCACUUUAGAAGACUAGAUUCUGACUACAAAACGACGAGAGUUGAGCAAAAAGUUUCUAUUGCAAUGAAUUGUUUACAUCGAUGUAUGGCACAGAAUGAAACCAUGCAAAUAAAAAGUUUCAUUACUUCAAUUUCUUUUGAAGUAGAAAAAUGUUUCCUUAGUCUAACUAGUGUUUCUUCUAACUCUGAACUGUACAGUGUCUAUCCUGGUUUACUACAACUAUACAAAAUUAUGUAACUAAAAAAAUGGGGACUGGUUUCCUUCUCACUUCCGCAAUCGAGAUGUGAGAUCGAUGAACAAAUCCUCGCUGCAGGGAAUAGUCACACCACCCAUUGGAUGGUCGAAGCCAAAUUCUUCCUCAGAUUGACUAAGCAAGUCUUGAAAUAAAGGUUGGCUCAAGAAUGAUAUCGGGAUCACAAAUCUCUUCUUCUGCAUCUCCCCAACAUACACAGCAAAAUGACCCUUGGGAAUAUCUCUAGUUGCAGAAGACUUCUUGAUCAUACGAAGAAUAGCCAUGAUCUCUUAGUUUUAGUAUAGGUGAGAAAAAAGGAAGGAUUGUAAGGUUACCAAAAAGCAGAGAAAGCUUUGAUGUUUGCUGAGUGUUGUGGUGGUAGAUACCUCAUUAGAUAUGUUUAUAUAGGAAAUGGCAACUCAUAUUGAUGUGUGUUGAAUAGGAAUGUGUGGGUACCAGCAGAAGACAAUGGCACUGUAGUAUCACAUGCUCUUGCCUUCCAAGUAUUGAAAACUAUGUGGUAUUAGUUAAACAACAAUAGGCCCCACCUUAUUUUGAAACAUGGAAAGAGCCAUUUGGAUUGGACAUCAGUACAAGACAAUGAUAUAUUAGCAAUCACAUGGUCCUGCCCUCCAGCUAGUUUGACAUGAUUAAUUACUUUGGCAUAUAUAAGUUCAAGUUCAAUCGGUCCUACAUAUAUUUUCCUAUAGGGAACAAAGGAUCUCUAAGAAUCAAAUCCACAUAUAUUGCUGGUAGCUUAUGAGGAUAUCUAGGAAUUAACCAUACCCCAGAUGCAAACUGUGUCUACUUAUAUAAAAAGGAUAAGAGAUAAAAAGUUGGCUUAUUAAAAUUCCGAGACAGUUGGUCAAAAUCAGAUGAUCAAAUAGAAACAGGGGGAAUAUUAUAUAUGCAAGAACAAUCCAUUGAUUAAUAGUUGGCUCCCUAAGUACAUUUGGUAACUAAUGUGAAUAUUACCAUAACCAACAAACACAAAGUAACAAAUACACCUAAAAAAGGCUUCUAAUCACAUAACCACCUUCUAGAAAGGGUGCAAUGAGAAAAUAGGCCUUCAAAAUAAAGCUAAUUACAAAUAAGCCUCUGAAUCAAACUGCUACAACUACGACCUUUUCUCCCUAUUUAUAAUAGAUCUAAUCUUUCCACGAUAUCCUUCUUAAUCUGUAACACAACUGUUCCAGUUUGAACAUUCAUGUGCUUGAAUGUAGUCCAGUUCCUAGCCUUCCAAGUAAAUAAUCUUGUUUGUUAUCUUUUACAAGUACAUUGGUUUCUUCAUAAACAAACAUAAAUAAGUUGGGAUCUUCCUCCAUAAAUAGCAUCCCAUCUCUAUAUCCCUAACACAACUAUUAGUACUUUUUUAGUAGCAUUAAGCUCUCAAAUUUCUUCAAGAAAACAUACAAAAAUGGCCAUCAGAAAAUCAAACAACUUAAUCACAAGCUGCAGUUUUAAAGCAAAAUUAUGAAUAGGUAUUCAAAUUUGGGUAUGCUGAGAUUUAUUUGCUAAUGAGUCCAACCAACGACCCGACCCCUAAGAGAAACAAUCAUUUAAAGUAAAUAAAUUAUAAGAUCAGAACAUAAGCAAGAUAAGUGAAAGAGACUAUGGGUCCUAGGGAACUUAAAAAGACACAUGGUGAUCUCUAAUGCUUUUAUGAUUGAAUGCAGUCUGGGAUAAUCUUGAAAAAAUAGGUGAAAGAAAUGACACUAAUUAACUUCAACAUGCACUAGAAAAAUUUAGCUCUUAUUCAGGUCAGGAACAAAUGGCAGGAAUUACCUUCUUUCGACUCCCCAUCGUGUGAAGUUGUGCACUCCCCUCAAGCUUGUACUUCAUUAUGACAAAUGCUAACUAGUUUCAUUAGAAACACCAGGUCGUGUGAGUUACUAAAAUAUCUGAUUGAGAUAAUAUCAGAAAGAGAACUAACCCUUCCAUGAACGUUGAUAACAUGACCUUUCAUCAGAGAAUACACCGUCACCACAACUUGGGGUGGAGGAUUUACCAAAUUGAUGGUAUGACUGCUGUGGAAACUCCAAGCAGAUAGCUUCUGCAAAAUGAUGCAGUCUCCUUACAGCUCUAGUU